GUUUUUUUUUUUUUUUUUUGGUGACUCUCAUAAAAUCCAUAGAUAUUCACAACAAACCAAUUUCAACAAACCCUAAAGAGAACUAUGUACAUAAAAGACAUGUCUCUAGAAACAAAAGCUAACGAGAAACUACUGUUCAACUUACUUUUCAUGGUUUAUAAACUUUAAGAAAGAUUAAAAAAAUAUAACAAGAUAUAUAUACACACCUUAUAUAGGACAUUAUGUAAUGGGAUAAUGAAGAAUAAGUUCAAUAAACUUUAAUGUACCCAAUCUACCAUAAACUUGAGUUCACUCAAAACCUUUAAGAAAAUGGACAAAUAGAAAUAUAAUCAAGCAAACAUAAUCAUUUUGUUAGGUACAUGCAAGAUAAACUAUUUCACACCAACAUAUAUAAUCAGUAUACAAAUGAAAUCUUUGAGUUUCACAAGCUAAACUCAAUUUAAACUUUGAACUAACAAGUCCAAACAAUUUUCAUUGUAAUUCAAUAGUUAAAAACGUACCUUGGAGCCCUUCCAACCCUAUCAAAAAAACAUAUAAGUCUAGCACUUUAACAAAUUUCUAGUGCAUAUUAUGCAUCUCAAUUGAUCACAACAAAAUAAGAUUGAACAUAAAUACUCAUAAGUAAUACCUUUUCAAUGUUGCAUUUUCAUAAAAAUUCAACAAGCAUUGUCACUCUCUCGAGGAUUCUUCAAGCCCUAAGUAUGAAAAAAUGUUCAAUGAUUAAAUCGUACUCCAUUUACAUGACAAUUUGACAAAGUUGAGUUAACCCCCCCCCCCCCCCCAAUUUCCAACACUAUUGUUGGAAAGGAACAACAAGAUCUUUCAAAGUAAGGAAAGAACUACUAUGAAGAUUUUAGAUGAUAUUAAUUCAAGCAAACGUUUAUAUACUACUAAUAUACCAUACUAAUUCGACUAAAACACUUUCAACGAGACUAGAAUUAUACAAAAUAUACUUUAAACCACAAUAGUUGAAUAUGUAUUUUUGGUAGGGAGGUAGACACUACUUACUUGAACAAAUAACGACAACGUCCUUGAAGUAAGAGGACUUUCUGCUAAUCCUCAAUUCAAUCAAUUAUUCAAAAUGUCAUAAGGUAGUCAUAGGAAGAAAAUAUAGUUUAAAAACGUUGAUAAAAAGUGGAGGUAAAAAAAGUGUAUAGGCUUAAGUUUCAAAAACUUAAAGCCAAAAACCAAAUAGAUAACAUACAGAAAUUCUCUUGGAAUGUGUAUAGGCUUAAGUUUCAAACUUAAAGCCAAAAACCAAAUAGAUAACAUACAGAAAUUCUCUUGGAAUGUGUAUAGGCUUAAGUUUCAACAUACACAUUCAUACCUUUCCAAUGUGUAUAACAUACAUCGCGGUUUAUGUUUCAAGCAGAGGGUGUAUUUCGACAUUUUCAAAUUUACUCCUCUUGGAAAGAUCUAGCAUGGUAAGUGGCAAAUAAAAUUCUACCAUACAAAAUAAAUCUUAAUUCACCAUCAUUUUUUUGUCUUUCCUUUCAAUAUAGAACAUGUAGUAAUUUUUGUUGCUACUAUCCUUAUUGUAAGAAAGGGAGAGAGAACAUACCUAUAAUUAUCAAUAAUCACUUCCCUCUAUCCUUCAAUCAAAGCAACUCAAUAGCAACCAUAAACAAAAUAUCAAUAGAAAAAUCAAAAGUACUAAAAUUCACUUGGAAUGCAUAGACAAACAAAAAGACCCUACACACCAUCAAAGUUUAAAAUCUCACAUUUCAUUUUUCAUUCUCUUUUUCUCAAAGCUUCAGCCCAUAGCCAUGACAUCUCCUUGGCCUUGAUUUCCUAAUUCGAACGAAAAAAAUCAAUCAAAAAUCAACCAAAUGCUUCAUUGAGGCAUUUCAUCAAACACAUUGUAAGCUACCAAAAUGUUUCAUCACAUAGCCAACCAUAAAGAAAAAAUGUAGAUUCAAAUUAGAAAAAUGAUUGUAAACAACAAUAUUGAAUAGGAUGGUAGACAAAACAAACACAUAUCUCAUAUAAAAGCAAAACUAUGAGGGAUGUUUUUCAUAAAAAGAACCAUCAAUAUAUCACAUUGUGGGUAAAAUGAAAGCAUUUGAAGUUAAUAUACUGUAUAAAUACAAACAAUAGAAAUAAUGGUUGAGAUUCACCAGUGAGUUCAGCGGUGCAAGGGGUGUUGGGUGGUUGCGUCGGCUGAAGGAGAGAAAGAGAGGGAUUUCGCGCAUUGUUGACAAAAGUCUAGUCUUUCCCGGCAUGCGUGAGAGAGGGAGAGAGAUGGUUAGCGGAAGGGGGAAAAUCGAAGAGGGGGACGUGUGGAUCUUCCACAGAGAAGAAAAGAAGAAGAGAAGAAGAAGAGAAGAAGAAGAAGAAGAGGAGGAGGUAGAGAAAGAGUUUUGGAGAUGUUUUAUUUUAAUAAAUAAAUUAUUUAAUGUUUUUAGAAUUAGGAAAAAAUCUGAUUUUAAUAAAUUUUUAUUUAAAAUAAAUUUUAUUUUAAUAAAUUAAAUAAAUAUUUUUUGUAUUUUAUGACAUCAAAUAACUGUUGCGGAAAGUAAAAUCCGAAAAAUUCCGUCUUUUUCCGCCAAAAACGCGGUUUUUUAGCUUUUGUGACAGUUUUUUCUUUUCUCCUUUCAAUUUGGGAUGUAUACAACUGUCAUAGUAGACCACUUUUCUACUAGUGCCACCACCCAAAAUUAGAAUAGAUCAUAAUUCUAGCCCAAAUUUCAGGUCAAUCAAUUUCAAAUUUAUAAAUUUUAAAAUCCAAAACAUAUCAUCAAGCAAAAUUAUUUUAUUAUUAUUAUUAUUAUACAUAUGAAAUAUCAAUAAAUAAAUCAUUCUUCGGGAAACAGUUAAAAAUAGAAAAGCAUUUACACUUGAAAAUGACAAAAUACUCUCCAUUCUCUAUUUGUCAUCUUUUAUUUAUAACAGCCUUAACAUUAAUAUCUAAUUUUAAUAAAUACCUAUUAUUCUCUAUGCUCUAUGAUUUCAUUGUAUUAUUUGUCUUGUCUUGGACAAGUUUGCACGGUGCUUUCUCUAUUAUUUUCUGAGUUCCCAAUCCUUCUUCUUGGGACGUGGCUCCGACCACAUAGAAGUGCUCUAGGAGCUAGUUGUGGAUUGAAUCAUGGGGUUUUUUUUUUCUCUUUGUAACCAUUAAAAUUUAGUAGAUUCAAACCUUCAAUCUCUAAAAUAUAAUAUUGAAAGAGCCUAAGCUUGCCAUUUUGAAAAAUGGACAUUUAGCAAAUCUAAAAAUAAACUUAAAAAUAAUAAACAAACCUUGGUUAGAAUUCUCGUCUAAGUGAAACGUUGAGGUAUAUUGUUUCCCCAUUUUAACAAAUACUUACUUAAUUAUUGAACCUUAAAAUUUGGACUUAGAAAAUGGAUGGUUAUAACUAAGCAUCUUUAGUUUACGGAUUUGACGAAAAAAGUGGAAUUGGGAUUGGAUACGAAAAUUAUAUAUAUGUAUAUAUUGAGUUAAUUAGUAGUCUUAUCUGUUAGAUUGCAUAUUAUGGCAAAUCAAGAGGUAGCAAACGUGGAAGUUGAGAUGAGAACUUCGGGAUUACGUAUUGUGGAAGUGAAGGAAGCAAAUAUAGAUUGUAUAUUCUGUCUUAUUUGUUAGAUUGCAUUUUAUAUAGACUGCAUGUUAGAUUGCAUUUUAUAUAGACUGCAUGUUAGAUUGCAUUUUAUAUAGACUGCAUAUUGCAUAUAUUAGGACAAUUCUGUCUAAUAGAGGCUGUUGGCACGUAAGAAAUUUUUACACCUAGAAUAAUUUAAAUGCAUGCAGAUUAGGUUUCGUGCUUGUGAUGCCAUUUUGGUAUUGGAUUGUUCACUUCUUUACAAGUUGGACGACUCUCCUACCACUCCCUUUAAUUUAUUCCCUUUAUCCUACCACUCCCUUUAUUCCCUUUAUCUCACUACAUGGAAUGCAACGUUUUUCUUCUCUACACUUCGUGACAUAAUGGUUAAUCUUUUCAUUUAUUUUUGUGUUAAAUUCUUUCUAGUUUUAUUUUAAUUUAGUUUUGCAAUAUGUGUGUUGGAGGGAGGAUGAUCAAAACUACAACACUAUACGCAUGUAUAUGCCCAUUUAAAUUUAUAUAUUUACUUGAUUUAAUUGUUUUUAAACUUACCAUACAAUACAGAAUUGAUACCAUAGCAAAUGGGACCUCACUUUCUUCUUAUUUCCAAGUAAAUAAAUAAAAAUAAUGAUCAAAUGUUAAAAUAAUACAAAUAUCGUCCCUCACUUUGUACAAUAGAUCCUAUUGUUGGGUCAGUUGCCAAAAUGUUGAUAAUUGGUUUCAUUUGAACAUAAGAAACCAAGAAAGGCAACAACAAAAAAAAUAUGUGUGUGGUUUCUUAAAUAAGACCAGACCCUUUUCUCUCUAUAAAAAAACUUACACCGAUCAUCAGUAUAACUCAUGUCUGUCUAGGCUAGCAACGCUCUAUCUAGGAAUCACACAACUACUCCAAGCACGGCUUCAUAUCAUUUAAAAUGACGAGCACAACGACGAAAAUGUGGUGUUCUGCAACUGAGGACAUGGUGUAGGAAAGACUGAAGUGCUAAAACCCGAGACAAAAGCACAAUGCCAUUUUGCGGAGGGAGUGAGACCGAGAAUGGUCACAUUUUUCAUACAUACACCGUCAUAUGAUGUGCCUGCAAUCCCGUAAAGAACCGGAGCCUUUGUCGAAUUUAAGCUCAUGAGAUUGGUAAUGAAAAUGCCCUUCACUUUAGGAACUGCCUUUGGAUCAAAUUGUUCAUCAGGAUGGUCAUUUGAGCCCCUGCUAAACCUUAUAGCCAUUUUCACUCUGUUCAUUACAAAGUUAGUUAUACUAACAUUUGCAAUGUAUCCUCCUCUACCUUGGUCGGAUUUGAUUCGAAUGCCUGCUGCCGAAUCCCAGACGUUUAAAUCCUCAAUUGUAAUGUUUGAUAUUCCACCUGACAUCUCACUUCCUAUUCCAACACCAGAACAGGUAGGGGUGGUGCCAGAAACUCGCCUUAUGACGAUAUUUGAGCUUGGGCGUGCAAGGUUGAUUCCAUAUUGAUCCCAACCACUCUUCACUGCUACUAGAUCAUCUCCGCUUUCGAUAUAACAGUCCUCGAUACAAACAUUGGUACUAGAAUCUACACCAUAAUAAAGAUGCAUUUGGAAUUUAGAUAACUCCAGCAUUGUUUUACAUUUAUUUCUCAUACCUCCUAGCUCCAAGAAAGAAGCAAAAUACCUGGAUCGAUACCAUCUGUGUUCGGGGCAUUGAGCGGAGCCAAGAUCGUCAUGUCUUUGAUAACAACAUUGCUGAAAUCAAACAAAAGUUCAAGAACCAGUAUAUAAUUGCAAAGAGUAGAUAAUUAUUGAAAAUGAAACCUGCAAUAGACAGGAUGAAUUGUCCAAAAGGGGGAAUUUUUGAAGGUGAGAUUGGAAAUGAGAAUAUUGUGAGAGUUGAUGAGCUCUACAAGAUGGCCCCUUGUGUGAUUUAAUGUUCUAUUCCACCAAAGCUCCCACCACAUCUUGCCUUGCCCAUCAAUGGUUCCAUUCUCUCCUGAAAAAACAACAUAAAAACUCAAUAGAUUUUCAUGAUUAAGAACAUUCUCGAACCCGAGUGCCGUCAAAGCUAAAUGAGAAGAAGAGUUCACACUAGUUCCAGUUUCGAUGCACAAAGCUAAUGUAGAUCAAAAGAUAUGAUCCCAUUUGAUACUUUUUUUAAGGUAGGUAGAACUUCUUAUUCCUAGUUUUUAUCACUGGACUCUACUCAUAUUCUUUUUAGUUCAACAAUAUGUAACGGUGAGUUUCAAACAUAUGACAUUUUGGUCAAAUUUAUAUAUGUUUUAACUAAAUGAGCUAUACUGAUCACAUUGGUGACCUAGUGGUAUUUGGCUAGGGUAAAAAACAAGAAAAUCAAAGAAAGAAAAUGGGUAAGUCAAGUUAGUCUUAGAAGGUAGAUCUUAAGCUUAAAAUUGAAAUACCUAACUUUUCUCAUCUCAAGUGACCCCUUAACAUAAAAUACUAUAAUGAUCUUCUCCACAACCAAAAUGUACUAAAAGGUCAAGUGCCCUUACAAAAAAAACUCCUUAUUGCCAAUUUCACUUUUAAAAACAGUUGAAAUGGUAUACCAAGAUUCAGUUCUUUAUCAUUCCCACCCCAAACAUAAAAACACACCAUAGAAAAUAAAGCAUGAUAUCUUGAGAGAGAGAAAUAAUAUUCUUAGAUCCUAAAUCCCUUUUUUUAAUUUUUAACAUUAUCAUGGUUCCCUAGCUAAUUGCUUAGUCAUGAUCAAAGUUUGAUUCCAUUACUUUACAAAACCCAAGAUAAGAAUCCUCAUGAAUAUAAAAUCCUAGCAAUGAAGAUGAAGCCAAAAACAAAAACAAAAAAAAAACAAAAAAAGAUAAAGAAAAGUGAAAGCACCUGUAAUUACAACAUUUGAAAGGGCAUUGCCAUGAAUAAGGCUGAUGUGUCUUCCUCCCAAUCUCUCUCUUCCUCUUCCAUAAGAAGGAAGUGGCUCUAUAAUGGGCCACUCAUCUGGAUCCUUUUUUUUUUUUUUUAAUUUCAAACAAAUAUUUAAUCAAGUGCACACUAAACUUUUGACAAUAACAUGCCACCAUGAUUUCUAAAAGCAAAGAUUUAUCAAUUCAUAAUUAACAAAUUUGAUUUGAUAAUUUAUUUUACUGAUCAAACCAAAGCUUAUUCAGUUUCAAAUAAUACCCAACAAAAAAAAAAAAGUCAACCAGUUAUCAUAAAAGCUCUGUUUCAUUUACACACCUUGGGGGAAGGAAUCACACUUUAAUUUUAUUUUAUUUUUUCUAAGGAAUUUUGUUAAUGGGAAAUCCCAAACACUAAUAUAAAUUAGCUUCAAAAGCACUAAUGAAUGCAUUAAAUGAUAAUUCAUAGUGCCAAUAAAUCAUUAGCAUAUACAACCUUUUUUUCUCAUAAUUUCACUGCUUUAUUAUUAUUUAUUAUCAUUACUUUUUUGGUUACAUACAACUUUACUUGUUUUAUUGCUUUUUUUUUUCUUUAAAAAAUAAUAUUAUUAUCAAUUCACAUUUUCACUAUAAAUAAGUUCAGAUAUUACAUUUUUCUUGCAUGCAAAAAUAUUUAUUAUCUUAUUAUUAUUUAAUCAAUUUGGAUGGAAAUAUUGGAUAUAUAUAUAUAUAAAUAUGGUGGAUCCCACUUGCUAUGUUUUUAGGUUUAAAAAUGCAAUAAGAACUUAGGUGACACCGCCAGAGUCAUCACUCUGAUUUUACCUUUUCUGCUAAGUUAUGAAAUCCCAUUUGUCAUUUUCUUCUUCACCAAAAUCACAAAGAAUUUGUCCUUUCCAAACUCAUUAAAACAAUAAAAAUAAAAUUCCCCAACAGUUUAAAAGAAACACCACACAAAGUCUUAAACACAUAAAUAUUUAAAACAAAAAAACAAAUUACAAAAGACAAGCUUAAAAUUACCAUUUAAUUUUCUAAUAACUAUUUAGUUUAACCGUAAGUAAUUUUAGGGGUUUAGGGUAAAAAAGAAAAAAACUGACCUGGGAGGCUAAAAUAAGAGCGCCACGUUGGAGAAAGAGGGUAAAAUUACUGGUGAGAUUAAAGCUGCCCGUGACCCAACUGCCCUUAGGGACGGUCAGUUUAGACCCGCCUUUGUCGCCGAACCGCCGCAUGUACUGAAUGGCCUUCCGAAACGCUUCCGUGUUGGAAGUCUUUCCGUCCCCUACUCCUCCGAAAUCCGUGAUCGACAUGACAACCCCCGCCGUAGCAUCUGGGCGGAAGAAGGCGGAGCAGGUGGGGAGUUGGAAAUCAGAGGGUGGGAGCCAGAAGGGGAAAGGGGGAGUUCUGGUGGCGAUUUGGAAGGUGAGGAUAGCGAGGAAGAUGAAGAGAAGGAGAAGGGAAGAACAGGAGGGAUUGAUCGGAGGGCCGAAAUAGAAUUUUGAUUUAUCACUGUCCAUUAAUGGAAAACCAAAUUACAAUAGAGAGAAGAAGAAGAAGAAGAAGAAAGAAGGGGUAGAGGUCUAGAAGGCAGGCUAGAACUGGAAGGGUGGACAAUGGACAUUGCGCUUCCGCAUGCUAAAUCUUUUCCCUUUUUUUUUUCUUUUUUGCUUUCUCUUCUACUUCUUUCUUUUUAAUAGUUUUUUUUUAAAUAUAAAAUUUUCAAAUUUAGUUAAUUACAAUUUGAUUUGAUUAUAAUAUUUAUGGAAGGUAUUUUCACAUUUUUAAAAAUAGAUUAGAUGAUGCUUUAAAUAGUUUGAAGUUUCAGCCCUACUAAUUUCCUAGUUUUGUUUUCAAAUUCCAUAAUUACCCUUACUUCAAUGCACUUAUUUUGUUUUUGCAAGAAGCAUGACACCUUUUGUUUAUUUUUUUUAUUCUAUACAAAAUUUCUAACAACAUUUAUAUAUAACCAAAUAUUACAAUAUAUUUAAUAUAUUAAACUACUAUUUAUCUUUAUUAUAAUAUAAAUAAACACAUAAUUUAUUUUAGGCUAUCAUGGUUGUGUACUAAGAACCAACGUUCAUUGGGUUUAAGUUCCUCACGUUCCAAUUUGUAUUAAAAAAAUUAAUGAAAAUUUUUUAUUACAUCAUUUUUUUAAAAUAUAUUUUUCUUAAUAUUUUUGAAAACUAUUUCAUUUAUUAUUUGAAAGUAAGCUAAAUUUGAAAUGUAUGCAUAUUAAAUAUGAGUGGAAUUUUAGACAGGGAGAGAGAGGACAUCAUUUAAAAAGUACUAAUUAAUUUCUUUGAUAGCCUUGUUAUUAUUAUUUUCUAAAACAGUUUGAUAGCGUUAUUAUUAUUUUUAUAGUCGGAAUUCUGGUUGUAGUAAAAGAACAAAAUUGUCAUUAAAAUUAAAAAAAAAAAGAGGGAGGGGGGCAAGAUGGUAAUUAUGUAAAAAGAAGCCGUGGGCUUUUGUUUGCUUAUUUGAAAAAGUGGGAUUAUGAGACGUGGCAAGUUUAGAGUGGUGUUAAUAUGGAGUGAUAGCGUGAUAGAUGUUGUAGAAGAAACCUAAUGGUGUAAAAAUGGAAGCCGCUAUUCACGGGCAUCUUUCAACCUUUCUCAUCAUUUCUUUUUCAUUCUAUUUUCUUUAUUUUAUUAUGUUUUCUCUUAAAUUAAUAAAAAAAAUAAAAUUUAUUUAUUUUAAUUUGAGAAUGUAUGAUGAUAAAUAAUUUUAAUUGGAAAAGGAACGAAACCUUUUGAAUUUAUUAAAAACGCAAACAAAUACUAAAUAAGAGAAUAUCAUAGUUAUAUAUAUAAAAAAAAAAAAUGCAACAUCUCCAUUAUUAUGAAACAUUUUAAAUGAAGCUAAAAGUAAAAUUAUGCAACAUUAAUGUAAAUUAUCUCAACUUCAAAUGACAUUUGAACCAAUGUUUGAUUUUAGAAUUAAUAUUAUAUAUAUUUUUAAAUAGAAAAUUUAAUUUGAUUUAUAGUUCCAAGAGAUGCCUUCCUAAAAUGAUUGUUUAUUUACUUGUACCAAUUGAAGCCCUAGUUUUAAUUUAAAUUUACUAUCAAACAAAUAAUUAGGAUCAGAACACAUUUCAAGUAAAAAUAAAAAUGUACUUUUCCAUUAUUUUUCUUUCAAAUGUACAAAAGUCUACUUUUUUGGUGCCAUAUGUCUAUAACUAGUAAAGGUAAAUAAAAUAUAAAAAAAAAAGGAAAAAAAUAUUAAAAUUUGUUUGAAAAUUUUGUGUAAUUUCAUUUAUGAAUAUGUUUACAUACAAAAUUAGUUAUUUGCAAAAGAAAUUGAUUUCGUCUUCUAAAAUGUUAAAAGUUUUUUUUUUCAAUAACAAAAGAUAGUCCAUUAAUAAUUAACAUAGGACUAAAAGAAUGAACUAUGGUAAUAUUUUGAUAUUUUUUAUUCUCAUGUAUAAAAAUUUGAAAAGUGAGGAUAUAAAGAGUUAUGAAAAAUGGUAUUUUGAUAUAGUUUCUACCUAAUACCUUCUCUCAUUCUUUUAAAUUUGAAUCCAUCUAAUUGUACGUUGUUUUAAGCUUUUCAGUUGAAGUUACUAUUUUUUAUCAAACCUAGAUUAACCCUUUGAUUAUAUAUUUUCUAAUAGAAUUAGAUGAAUUAGAGAGAAAAAUGAAAAACAAAAAACCACAGCCAAUGUUUUAUUAGUUAUGUUUUGCAAUAUUCAUCAUGAACUUAUAUAACCUUGCAAUUUAGUACAAUUUAAUUGAAGCUUUUCUGUGGUUGUCUUACCAAUCAAUCCAUUGGCUGAGUUGACACCCGAGUUAAGGGCGACAUCGGUAGAUGACUCGGAAUUUUCAUUCCCAAUUCCCUUUUCAAAUUCUAUAACCUUCGUCACCACGAACAAUUUGCAAUAGAUACGAAACCAAGAUCAGGGUCUUCUUAAUUUUCCUUCUAUCUUUCUUUUUCCCCUUCAUUGGACGCGCCAUCAAUUCUACAUUGGAUUGCAGCAUUUGGGUAUUAAAUUUUGAUCUGUUUUUACGGGAUGUCAUGUUCGAUUUCAUUGUGAUUCAUUCAAUUCCAUUUCUGUCGCAUGUUUUCGUAUCUCUUUGGUAAUGGUGCAUGCUGUUUUGCAUUUGUUGAAUCAGCUGACAUUUGGGUUUUCUUUUUCUUUGAUUAGGUACGUGAAUCGGGUAGCGAUCUUGUUUUUAAAAAUUGUUGAUUGGGUUGGAGCCAUUGGAGGACGGAUUUGAUGGAUUCGACGUCAAACCAAACCGAGUUUGAUUACUUGUUCAAGUUGUUGAUGAUUGGGGACUCUGGGGUUGGAAAAAGUAGUCUGCUUUUAAGUUUCACUUCCGAUAACUUUGAAGAUCUCUCACCGACGAUCGGUUAGUUUUGCUAUACGGAUCAGAUUUGAAGUAUUAGUUUGGAAUUUCCUUUUUUGCUUUUGUGGGAUCUUGCGCAUUCUUUUUGAAAAUGAGCUUAGACAAAUCGGUUUUGUUGUUUGCUGCGGAAUAUUGGUUCAUCAUUUUAAAGAAACAUGUGGAAAGACAAUGAUAUACUUUUGCUGAAUAUUGGUUCAUCAUUUUCACUUUCACCUUCACCUUCUGCAUGGGAUUGAGAUGAGAUUGAGGGCAAAAAAUUAAAUGAAAGGGAAAGUUGAGAGGACCAAGAUUGAGAGAGGCAAUUAAUCUUAACCGUAUUUCAUCAAGAGAAGAAUGAAGCUCUUAGAUAAUCAGGUCAGGUGUCAUUUUUUUAGGACAGUGUAAGGAACUUAGCUAUAAUCGUAUCUGAGAAACUAAAAUGAGAAGUCAUGAAAGAGGUAAUUUGUGCAUUAAUUUCUAAUGGAAAAUACUAUAUUUCAAUGUAAAUAUGUAUUGUAUACUUUCAGGUAUACAAUGAAAAGUUCAUUUUCUUUGUAAUAUUAUAUAUAUAUACACACACUGUAUACUUUCUACCCGCUCUAUUAUCACUGGUCAUCUAUACUUUUGCAUUCUGUUCAGUACUUACUGACCCUGUGUAAAUCUAGGCAUAUGCUCAUCGUCCUACUGUGGGGCUAUUAGUAGAAUAGAUUUCCUUUUACCUGUGUAAGUUUGGUUGAAUUUCAAACCGCAUAGCUGAAAUUUUGGAUGUUCUCUUUCUUAUUAAAACAUUAUUAACAAAAUUGAGAAUUUAAAAUGAUUUUGAUUAUAAAUCCUACGUCUGCAUGUUUAAUUGUGCUGGUUUGCUUGUUUAAAAUGGAAAACGGCACAAGCCUUGCUAACUUCUUAAUUUGCCUUGCAAUGGCAUGUAACCAUCAAUAGACUAGAAAUGACUUUUAAUUAAUUGGUUGUUUUUGUGCGCAGGUGUGGAUUUUAAGGUAAAGUAUGUUACUGCUGGUGGUAAAAAGCUGAAGCUUGCAAUUUGGGAUACUGGUAAUUAAGCUUCUCCACACACAUAAAUAGGCUUCUUCUUCCUCCAUUUUUAUUUUUGAGAGGGCGUCUAUUCUAUUUUCCACACAUGCAAGAUGUAUGCUUUGGCAGAGAAGCACCAAACGGCUAAGUUAGAUAAUUAAUUUACAAAAAGAUAUUGCUUAGCUAAUUAUAUAAGCAGCUGGACGGUAUACUAAAUUAUAAAUACAUUGAGGCUUGGCCAUUUGCGUAGCUUGUCCUUUGUUCACCAGCUCAAAGUUGACUUUUCCUUCAUGGUCCGGCAAUCUAUGCAGUAAUCCUCGAUUCGGCACAGUUUUCUCCUGUUUUGAAUGUAGAAGCUAGAAAAUUUUGUUACCAAAUCUUUGAGGCAUUAAAUAAAUGGAUGAGAAGACAAUAAAUUUAACCAAUUGACAAAUAGAUCUGGAAGGUGAAAACGGAUGCUAACUGUUGACCAUAAGUGUGCCUGGAUGAUGGUUCUGCUGUGCAGAAAAAUGCAACAUGAAUGAACUUUUCACGUUCAUGUAUAGAACUUUGUUGAACCUGCAGCCGGCUAGAGCUUUUUCAUCAAGAUUAGAAACUUGUUCAUAUUUGUGUUUGAAUUAAAUUUGGAUCUUGACCUAACAGACUAAGAAAUUGCUCAAAGGAUUGUACAUGCUUAUUCUAAUUCUUAACUGUUAUCCAGUGGUCCUAGUGCUGUGAAUUAUAAAGAUAAUAUAGUUGUUCUUGUUGAUUAGCCAUGAUGUAUUUGAUGGUACUAGGGUAUUACUUCCUAUAUUUUCUUGUAAUGAAUCUGUAUGAAAGAAAUCUGGUUUACCACAUCUCCAAACUAUGCAUCUUGUAGAAUCUAACUCAAUGUUCAAUCGUACAGCUGGGCAGGAGAGAUUCAGAACACUGACUAGUUCAUACUACAGAGGUGCUCAAGGGAUCAUUAUGGGUGCGUUCUACUCCCUUCUUUAUUUGAUUGUUUUAAAGAGAAGAAAUUCUUUGCUUGGCAUAAAUGUUAAAUUUCUCAGCUGUGUUUAGUUUAAACGCAUUCAUGAUUUUAUCAAAUGAUAAGUUGUUCAUUUGUUUGGCCGUCCAAUAUUAUUCUAUUGCCUUUUGUAUUAUGUUAUCUUGAUUAUGACAUCAAAUAUUAACUGUCAGUUUAUGAUGUAACGAGGAGAGACACGUUUACAAACCUUUCUGAGGUAUGGGCAAAGGAAAUAGAUCUAUAUUCAACCAAUCAAGAUUGCAUCAAGAUGCUUGUUGGAAACAAAGUUGAUAAGGUAAGCGUCUUCAACUUCCAUUUGAAAUUUUCCAUUCACCUGAAUUUGGUUACUCUAACAUUUGUAUAGAUGUCGAUUAAUUGUUCAAGUGUAUGGUGAACUGAAAUUCAUAUUCCAAAGAGUUUUCAGGUUAAUUACCAAUAACAUAUUGAUAAUUUAAGAACCGAUUAAAUGAGUUAUGAAUAUCAAAGCUUUUUCCGUAUGAGUUUGUUAGGUAUUCAAGCUGUUAUUUACUACUAUUAUUAGAAAGCUUAGAAGAUGGCCUAAUGGUAAAAACGGAGACAUAGUCUGAAUAACUAACUAAGAGGUCAUGGGUUCAAUACAUGGUGGAAUUAAUUUCCUACAUGUUAUCUUGACACCCAGAUGUUGUAGGGUCAGGCGGGUUGUUCCGUGAGAAUAGUCGAGGUGCUCGUAAGCUUUCCCGGACACUCACGGUUAUAAGAAAAAGAAUUAGAAAGCUUAGAAGAGUGUUGAAACACUGUACAAAUGAAAUCUAACUUCUAGGUCUGGCUCAUCUCCACGCACAAAGCCUAUCCUAAAUUAUGACUCAAGAAACCAAACUUCCAAUAGGAAGAACAUAAAAACAAAAAGGCAUGUGCGAAAUACACUAAAUGUGAAGUUCAGGUUUUUGAGAUUCUUUUAAAUUUCUUAUGAUAAUGUUUUUCAUUGUCUGCAUCUAACUUACUUUUUAUCUGGAAUUUUAUUCUUCAGGAAAGUUAUAGGACAGUAACCAAGAAAGAGGGAAUUGACAUGGCUAGGGAAUAUGGUUGUCUUUUUACAGAAUGCAGUGCCAAAACUCGGGUUAAUGUACAGCAGUGCUUUGAAGAACUUGUUUUAAAGGUAGCAAUUUCAGUUUAGUAUUACUGUUGGUUCAUUUAUUGGUCAAGGGAUUGAUAUUGAUUGGUGAGUAGCAGGAACAUGGUGUUUCCCUGUUGUAAUUGUAACAGUCACAUUUCUGAUAUUUUUUAAAAGAUAAAAGCAAUCACAUUCCUGGUAUAUUCAUAAAUAGGUUAAGGCAGUGAAAAAUUUUGAACCCUCUUGAAUAGUCAUAUUUUAACGGCUAAAAUUUUCCUCUUCCUUUUUCCCAUUUUAAGAUUUAGAAAUAUCCUGCAAACUCACUGAAUGUUGCUUGGACGAUUAAAACAUGAUGAUAACGAUUCUUAUAUACAGAUUCUUGAUACGCCCAGCCUUUUGUCUGAAGGCUCUAAAGGAGUGAGAAGGAACAUCUUCAAGGAAAAACCUCCACAGUCUGAUGCAUCCACGAGCAGUUGUUGCUGAAAUUGAUUCAUUGUCUCUAACUACAUUUGCUGGUUGUUUCUACAUUGUUGUAAAACUACAGUAGAGGAGCAUGGUGUUAUAGCUUUUAUUUGUCUCACUCUCACAAAUUACCUUACAAAUUGAAAAGGGUGGUUUUGUCUUCUUGCUGGCUUUCUUGUACAGGGAAAAAUUGAAAUGGAAAUAUAUGAUACAUGAUUUCAGUCUUUCUUGCUUUAAUUUAGUUGCUGUCCUCUGGACUUUUGUUUUGUUUCUAUACACUGAGUCAUAGAUUCAGUACGAUUAAAAGAUGAUUCUUGUUAAUGUAAGAGCUGGGGGGAGGGGGGUUGGGAAGAAGUGUCCCACCUGCAAGUGUUUAAUUGAAGGGCAUAUUUGGAUGACUUUUAAGGGGUUAUAAAAGGGUUCAAGGAAAAUCCAAAUAGGUCCUCAUCCGACUCAAGUGGGGUUGAUUUGAAGUCGAGUUGGGCUUUGUGACGGAAAGGAAGAACAACCCCGUUUGGUUGUAUAUGCAUAAAUUUAGCGAUCUAAUAAAUAGGAUCUUCUUUUACCGGUUACUCGUUUCUUUCACCGGUUCAUGGAAGGUAACCGCUAGAUUUGUUUUUUAGAUGGAGAAAUAAAAACCACUUGUUAGGGGCUUCUUUUUAUUGAACUUAUAAAGUUGGAGAAUGGUGUGACUAAAGGUAUCAGCUCGGUAUGUGUUUGUUACAGUCGAGACGUUAAUAAACUUAAAUUCUUGAAACGUUGAAGAGGUUCUUUUGAUUUCCUUUUAUGGAAGGUAUAUCAAGAAUGUAAAUAUUCUGAUUGAUUUGUGGAAACCUUUGAGUUCAUUAUGUAUGGUAAACAAAGUGAAUGUUGAUGGUAGUAGUAAAUGAGAUCAAAGUUUAUGAUAUGCUUUUCAAGAGAAGAAUGAUGGUAGUAGUGACCAAGAAAGAUCAAAGUUUAUUUCUCUCGUUGAUGCCGUAUAAAAAACAUUGUAAAAGUAGUAUGCUCCAAAAUUGGAAAAUAUAAGAGUUCUAUAAAAUGUUCUUGGCCAAGAAAAUGUGAAUAAAAAAUUCAAUUAAAUCGAAACAGUCCUUAAAUCUAUCAAAAUGUGAAAAAUUCUCAAUCUCUCACAAGUAUUGAAAACUCAAGGUUUUAAUUGAUGUUGGUUAGGUUCCUAAUAGUAAAUACUCUAGGACUCCGAUGUACAUCUUUAUGAUUAUGUUGUGUUUAAGGAAGAGAUUGAAAGACACAUACAAAAUGUAUCACCAACAAGGAUCAUCUAAUCCAAUAUGAGCCCUUACUUCAACCUAGUGUUGUUAGUCAAGAAAAAAAGACAUGAUUUGACGUUUUUGUGUUAUUAUAGAGCUUUGAAGGAAGCCAUUGUUCCACGUAGAUUUUCAAUCCUUGUCAUUGAGAAUUGCUAGAUGUUACAUAAGUCUUUCAUGUAUUAUAUGUUAGACCACAAAUUUGACUAUUUACAUCCAUAGAGGUUACUAUAAAUUUCUUGUGAUGCGUUUGAGUUAAAAAAGAACACUUCAACCACUUUUUAAUCUACGAUGAAUCAAAGUAUUUAUACAUGUUAUGUUUUUGAUAAAACGUCUUAUAGUUUUGUUUGAAGAUAUAUUGAUGUAUAGCCUCAACUUGAGACCCACGUAAUAUCCUCGGCCACAAUUUUCUAUUAGCAAACAUGAAAGAAAUGCAAGUGUGAGGAAAGUUGUGUGUGGAUCUAACUAUUCAUAAAUGGUUUGUGAAAGCAUUGGACGUGGAAACCAUUAAAAAAAGGUCAAAGAAGAUGAAUAUCUGUGUAAGAUUUGAGUGGAGUGGCACGAUGAUUCUCAAUCCCAACUUUUUUUUACUUUUUUUUAUUUGUCUUUGACACUUUUCUCCCUAAUUCUUCCCAAUUUUGGAGCAAUCUAGCUUAAUCUAGCUUAAUCUUUUGAAGAUAUUUGAAUCAAGAAUGAUGUUGCGAAUUUCAAAAAAUGAUAAAAUUUAGAUAGUUGUAAACUCUAAGCUAUGAGUAUAUAAUGUGAGAAGUUGACAAGACAUAAAAUUGAUAUAUUUUAGUCACGGACUCAAUAACUCUUUAGACCAAACAAGGAGUGUAGCUCACAAGUCGAAUCUUUCUAAUUCUCUCCUCUUCAUACCUUAACUUUUUGGCCUAAACACCUCGGUAAGUGCUUGCAUAUGUAUCGCUUUAUUUCUAUGUCACAUAUUAGACUCUUUCGACCACUACCCAUUAGUCCAUAACUAAUUUGAAAUGAUAUCUUUUAAGGAUUUCAUUGACAUGGGCUCCAUAGACACAUCACACAAAUGGAAAGGCUAAUUCUAUGUCUAAGACAAGGUGGCUCUCACCACCCGGGUAUUGUUAAGCUCUACUAGAAAAUAAGAUGUGAUUUGAAUUUAAAUCAAAGUUGAAAGAGAUUGUUACCUUCCCAAAUUGGUAGAAAUUUUGGUUGUAUUUUGUUUGAAGGUGAUCAAAAUAUCAAAAAAGAACCUUAGAUGUUCAUUCCUCAAGUGCUCAUAAAUUACAUUGAUUCAUCUUACAUAUUACACUUAGAAACAGGUCAUAAUAGCAUUUAAAUCUAAAUAAACAUAGGGAAGUAAGAAGAAUAAAAGUUCGAAAAUGAGAAAAAAAGAAAUACACAAUUUGAUUCCAAAAUUAUAUCUAAAGUAUAAGCAAUUUAGUAUGGAAAAUAUGAAAAUAAGGCUGAAGUUUUGCCACCAAAACAAACCAACAGCCAUGGGUUCUACAACUGCAAGACUGCUGAUUCCUCAUCUUCUUCUUCCCUCUUCUUCUUCUUCUUCUCACAAUCCAUCAACAAACACUCGCACCAAAUCUUCAAAACCCCUUUCAUUUCCCAACCAUAAUUCAUUACCAACCAGGCGUUUGUUGCUUUUCUCCCUCCCCAUAGCCACUGCCUUUCUUCUCCCAAUUCCGGGCAAUCCAAUUCAACCCAGUUCUUCCUUUGCUGUGGAGAGCUUUGACCCUGUCAGCCGUUCCGAGAAAGAUGCCAGUGCCGCCAUUUCACGAAGAGUAUCUGAAGCUGUGGAGCUUCUCGAUAAAGGCAGGGAGUUGCAAGCUCUUGGUGAUUUCAAUCAAGCUCUUCUCUACUUCACUCAGGUUUGUACUAAUUUUGCAUCUUCGAAUUCGUAGAUUUAACGUCGAGUCCCCAAUAAUUUAAACAAUGAUAAGUUAUAGAAUUGUUGAGGAUUGAUGCUUAGCUGAAUUUUUCCAUUCUUUAGAGUCAACUAAGUUUUAGAUGUAAAGUUCUUGUGAUGGACAUCGUGUUAUCAGAUAGCAAUGGCUUUUUUCCAAAAACAAAUUAACAGGAAAAUUUUCAGAAAAAUUAAUAUGCUCUGGAGUGUUGUUAGUUUAUGUUAUUGUAUCUAUAAAUCUAAAAUGUAUGUUGGACAAAGCAUAUCAACAAAAAGAAACCUUUUAGGAAAUCCUGCAUGCAGGAUCUGGUGCAUAAAAGUAAGGCAUAUUAUCCACAAAUGAUUUACUUAUCUGACUUUAUGGAUAAUUCCCCAAUAUAUUUUGGCGACCCAUUGGGAUGUUAUUAGUCUUUUCCACCCACAUUUGGUGUGAUUAUGCGAUUUACCUAGUUGGAAUUUUCAAGUCUUAAGCAUACUGAUGGGUUUUCAGCUGAAUGGAUUAAACCAUUUCUUACAAAAUGUCAAAAUCGUGAAGAUUUGUGGAAAGGGUACUUGUCUUUUUUGUUUUCAGAUAAGUUGUAUGUAAGGAACUUUCUUGUAAGACAUAAGAUCCACGUAUUUUUUAAGGCAGUUCUAUGAAUGGAAUUUUGGAGGCCCAUUUGGGUGUGGUUUGUUAGAUCCAUAUGUUCUAAUCACGAGUGACUUAACUUAACAACACAGUUCUGUCACUAUCCAGAUAGAAGAAUGAGAAAACUAUUAUGUUUUUCGUUUUUAAUCGUGUUUGAGACUAGGAUCCGCGGUGGAUCAUUAUAUUACUGAUCUUCAGAAAUAUUCACUACUUCAAUUUGGAUUUGCUGUAGGCUUCAAAACAUGCAACAUGAAAUUACUUUCUGAUUUCUAAACACCUGUCUCGCAUAGACAAAAAUUCUAUAGCCUCUAAAUACUGAGUGUUCCUGAGGUUCAGGUAGGGGGCGACAAAACUUUGAUUAUAAACUUUUUUUAUUAUUUAUUUUGCUGAAGAAAACUCAAAACGAAAAGUGUUUAGCAUGUGACGAGAAGACUUCAGAUUCCUUUCCCUUUGAAGCUCAUAUUCAAUCUGCACUCCUCAUUUAAUUGAGAGAAAUUAUUUAACUAUUGAUUUAUUUGUCAAGUCAACGUAUUUUGAGUGUUAGUUCUUAUUAAAAAUUUGAUUUUAGUUCUUUUCUAAUUUCAGGUAAUUGAUAAAUAUAAAGAUUUUGCUUUCUCGGAUUAUGCCCGAGUAGGCAGAGCAUUGGCCCUGUACGAGAUUGGUGACCGAGAAGAAGCCAUUGCAGAGAUGGAGGAUGUUUCCAUAUCAUUGAAGGGAUAUCCAGGUACUUGAAUAAAUUUUGCACAAAUUUUGGGUUCUAGACGUACAGAUUGAAGAGGGUAUCACGUAGAUGCAGUGCAACAACAGUUUUAGCUAGAGAAAGAGACUUUAACAUACAGUAUACAAGUACUUGAGAAUAUAUAUAUAUAUAUUUAAAUGAUUCUUCAAACAAUUUUCCUGAGGUAAAAGUUUAGUUAAAUUAUAUGUUUAGUUCAUAAAUUUUGAGGUUUGUGUUCAUUUUAGUUCUUUAGCUUUCAAUAGUCGGUUAAAUUUUAAAAUAAUUUAUUCAAGUAAAGGUCAAAAUUGCAACUUGAAAGUGAGAGUUUAAGAUGAAAAUGGAUGCAUAUUGUUUAGAGUUAAAAGUAGAUGGAUGAUUAAGGCUAUGAUGGCAUAAUUGAAUCGUGCCAAGGAGCUUGGAUGCAACGCAAAUAACUAUAGAUAUGGGUCAUGGAUGUGUUACCAACAUAAUUAAUGCCAUUUAAAAAAGAGUCAAUAGUAUGCACAGGAUAAUUUUAUACAUUCAUGGGUUUGAGGUAUGCAAAAGUUUAUUUAUUUUUAUGUUAUAUAUCUAUUUAGGAUGCUCAACCAGUGUUUGAUACAUAUCUAACAAAUGUGGACUAGUAUUUAUUUGUACAAUUAGUGUCAAAUGCAUUUAUUGUAGUUACAAGAGUUCUAUGCUUGUAUUCUUUCUCUAUCAUUUUCUGGUGUGGUUGGAUUUUGUAAAACAUCAUUGAAUGUGGAUUGAAAUUUUGACUGCUCUCUCGAAGCUAUGUAUAGCAAGCCACCUAGAAUCUAAAAGAUCAUAAUGUUUAACAGUAGUACUCGACAGUUGGUGUCUUUUCUCUUACAUUAUGUGGCCAUAAUGAAUCAUGUGUAGUACAUAGUACUUACUGGCAUUUAUGUACCGGUAUAUUGUUUUGCAGAAGUGCAUGCGGCAUUGGCUGCAGCUUUAUACGUGGAUAAGCAUGCUGCAUUGCUGGCUGAAAAUCAAUUCACCAUUGCAACCUUGCUUGAUCCUCACUAUGUGGAUAUCUCGUAUGUGAAAGAAACAAAGCACUGGCCUCCUAGUUUGAUCAGUUCUUUGCAACAUUUCUUAACACUUUCUUAGACAUUUGUAAUAAAAUAUAUACAGUUUCUGUCAUAAAAAACUCAAUUCCUUGUUUUGUAAGUGCACAAAAUUUAAUACACUUUAAACAUCCAUGUAAUUAUUAGUAGAAAUAUAGUUUAUGUUUACUCUCUUAUCCCCUUUGACUUGUAACAUAAAUUCAUUUCUUCAUUUAAACUUACCUGAUGCUCAUCCUCAUUCAUGUUCUGAGUCUAUUCAAUGCACCUUCUUUAUUGACGGAGGAUACAAUGAUGGUUUUGCUAGUUUUAUACCAUUGGAUAUAAGUAAGUGAAAUUACAAAACAUUUUUUGUAUUGGAAUCUUGAAUCUAUAAUUGAGUCAACUUCAUUCAUAUUUGUGUUAUUGAACUAAUCCUAGAAAUUGGACAGAAACUUUGAACACUUGAGCUGGAUAAUGGAUGUAUCAGAAUUGUCCUUAAUUAACCAAGGUUGAUUGACCUCUACAAGACAAUGGAAGUCACCAUUUAGGAAGGCUUUUCUUUCACGCUGAAAAGUCUUUGCUGUGACUCUGCACUCAUUUUUGUACUUUUAGUGCUUUCAUAUUAACUUUUUAAAUGGUGAGACCACAAUACUUUGUCCUAGAGUAACUAUAGGUCUUUAGUGGGUCCUCAUAUUAAUAAAAAAAAAAAAAAAUUGCUCUUUUAAUGCCAUUCUGGUGUUCAUAAAAUGCUUUCACACAUGGAAAUUUUCCCACUUCUUCAAGAAAGAUCACAGAAAAUAUUUUGCCACAAGUAACUUCUGGUUUGUAUAACCACAUCUUUCAAAUCAGCCUUCUCUUUCUGAUUUUUCAAUUAUUUAUAGUUUUGAUGGUUUUUUUGGGCAAGGUAAAGUCCCAUCAGAAGUACCUGCCAGUAAUUGCAACUAUUUUAGAAAGAUGCUGGGGAUUCAGAAUUCUGAUGUGCUCUCAUUCAUUCAAGCUAAAUGCCAUUGCUGACAGGCAAGCAGUGAAGUGCUUCCAGCAAAUUGAGUGGGCCAUCAAGCAUGUGCUUUGCCCCUGCCUUUCUAAAUCAUAUGCAAAUCUCUGCAGUUACUCAUACUAUUAUUAAGUUGUAAAGUAUUGAACACUUGUCAUGAUUAUUAAUCAGUUGUAUCAUGACAUUUACAGGCUUUCAAUUCUGAUGCUCAUAUUGGACAUGGGAGGCUUAUUUACACAUCAUCAAUGGCUCUGAUUGAGCCUCAGGUUCACUUAAUCCAAUCUGCUUUAUUGAUUUUCUUUUAUCAAAUCAAAUCAUACCAAAAUUUGGAUUGUGAACAUUUGAUUAAUGAGAAAGCUAGGUAUAUUAUAAUUAAAGUUUUUCCAAUCUGAAUAUAAUGAUACUGAAAUGCAUUUGCAUGUGAUUAAAAAUCUCCAAUGAGUGAAUUUUUUCUAUACUUGAUUGUGUACACUACUAGAUAUUUCUUCCAUAGCCAAUCAAUUUUGCUGGCUACAAUGUAAAGAUUCACAUUUGAAAGGGAAAAAAAAAGGUCCCAAAAGGGUUGAGGGAUAGAAUAUUAUUAUCACACAUUACAUAUUCCUUUUGUCCUCAACCCACUUGGAUCUAAGAAGCUUGAGUAGGAUUCUUGCCUUUGUUUUGGUUUUUGCACAACACUGACUUUGCAGAAGCAGAAGUAAUUGACUCAAAACUCCACCUCUAAUGGCCUUUUCUCUUGCCUCUACUGAAUCAUAACAUAAAAUUAUAAGUGAACUAACAGCACUUUCACUGCCUCCGUGAUCUGAUACUCUAAAAACCAUCUUCACAAUAACAUUUACACCAUCUGGAAUAUUUACCACUUCCUCUUUUGCACUUCUAAAUACCAAAAGUUUCUCAAUUGCUGCCAUUGCUUCUCGUGCAGAGCUUCUUUCUCUUUGUUGAGCAUUAGAAAUGUAUGAAAUAAGUCCAGUAACUGCACCUUCCACAACCAAAUUGUUGAUGUUUUGUUCCAAGUUACUUAGUGAACAUAUGGCUUUGGUUGCUGCAUCAGAUGCCUCUGAGUUGUGGUGUAGAAGUUGCACGAUUUCUCGUAAAAGCUCGGUUGUGUUUCCGAGUAAAACACUAAGAUCUUUAGUCUCAACUGAAGAUGAAAUUGCCUGAACCAAAUGACACAAACUGAUCUUGAUCAUGGAAGUGCCAUUACUGAACAAAACCAUGAACCGUGAUAGUUUUGACUCAUCCAUUAGCACAUUUAGGGACUGUAUCUGUUCAAGAGAAACCAUAGCAACCAUAAAACUAAGCGCUUGCUCUACAAAUUCCUGAUAUUCUUGUGAUAGUUUGGUUUCUUCUUGCCCAAAAAUCAACUCCAAAAGCACUGACAAGAACCCAAUUCGGAUCAAACAAGAAUUACGAGAAGGAAACUCUUCACAUAAAAUUCUAACUCUUUGAAGAACUUGUAGCUUGUAUUCAUAAGAAAACUCAUCAGAUUCAAGUUUGAUUCUCAAAGCAGCCAUAGAAUCAAUAGUAGAAACACAUUGAGGGUUUAUUUGGUCACUCAUCUGAAGCCACUGACAAAUCAAAUGACGAAGAGUAUUAUUAGGAACAAAAGAAGGAUCAUGAAGCUUCUGCAUUGUAACAGGACAUGUAAGAUUCCCUGAUGCCAACCAUUUCUCAAUGCUUGAUCUUUCAUAAGUUUGUCCUGUGCAAAGAGUGACAGGAUCCUUAAACAAAUCAAGACUUAUUGGACAUCUAAACAAGUGAGGGAUGGUCUCAUGAUCAUCAGCUUCUUUCAUGGAGAAGAAAAAGAAUAAAACUAAUUACAAAAACCAGAGAAAGAAGAGAGUGAGUACCCCCUAUUAGAAAUUUGGUAAAAAGAGAGAUGGAAAUGAAAUCUUUGAGAGAGGUGGAAUGAUAAAAAAGGAAGAUACGGUGGGAAAGUUUUCAAAAGAAAGAGAAAAAAGGGAGACCGAUUGAGUUCUUAAAGGCUUUUCUUUUCAAGUCACAAAAGAAGAACACAACAGUGUGAUAUUUGAGGAAAGGAAAAUGGAGACCCCAAAAGCUAAAAGGCAUAAAGAGAGAUGAAAAACAGGUAUAGAAAUUGGAAUCAGAUGGUAUAAAGGUGGAUUUAGAAAGCAAAAAAAGCUGAAGGAAAGAAAAGUAGGCAAAAUAUUAAGACUUAAACAGUGAGUUUCUAUGGGGGAAAAGUGUACUGAUUUUGGUCUGAGCUAAUGCUGUUUCACACUGGCAGAUAUAACGAAAAAAAAAGAUAAAAGAGUAUAGAUCAGAAGAGAGGGACAAAGUAGAGGUUAAUCCUAGUGAGAGAGAUGAACAAAGUAAAAUGAUAUGGAAGAAGUAUGAGAAAAAUUGGUCCCCAUUACUCUAAUAUAGAAUUCAGUCAAAGUGACCCACCAUCAAAUAAUAAUAAUUAUUAUUGUCUUUGAAGUUUGAAUCAACCCUCAUAAUAAGAAAAAAAAAUGGGGAAAAAAGGAGAAAAAUAAUGGGUCUAAUUCCCUGUGAUAGAGAGAGAGAGAGAGAGAGAGAGUUUUGACUAAGAAUUUUUCUUAUUCCUUGAGAUAUAGAUAGAGAGAGAGAGUUUGACUGUGAAAUGUUAAUGGUAAUCACAAUUAGAUUUUGAUGAGAAUUCUGAUCUCAAUUAUGAUUAUAAACACUCAUACCAAUCAUAUAAUGCAAAUCUAAACUGGAUAAUUCUCUAAUAUGUGUACUAAUAAAGGUGGCCUUUUUUUCCCCUAUGUUCAUACCUUUAAGAUCUUUCAAAAUUCAAACAAAAUUUGAAUUCUAAAUUUUAUAUAUUUUAAAAUUUUGGUUUUAUUUUUAGAAAUUGGAUAUGAGUUAAAAAGAAAAAAAAUAAACCCAAAAUUUAAAAAUAAAUAAUCGAAUAAUUAUCAAACGUAACCUACGAGAUCAUGUAAAUAUGUACUUAAUUACUUUAUUUGAAGUUGCAAUUACUUGCUUGAUCUAGGCCAUAAAUAUGACAUAGGAUGGUCUAACAAUAGCGAAUCUAUUUGAACAAUAAUCAUAUCAAUUAUUAAAAGUUGAAGCAGUUUACACAACAAAAUGGUAUAUUCUUUCCUAUAUAGACAUGAUUUAACGACUAUAGAUAUAAAACAGUGAAGAAAAGUCAGAAUAGAUGACUUUUACUCUUUAAAUUUUUAUUUUUUCUUUAUAAAACGUAGACCAACUCAAAUAUUUAACUAAAGGAAUAGUCAUUUAUUUGAAGGUUCUAAUUUUUUAAGAUAUAUUAAAAUGAAACUACAAAUUUCACCUACAUCCCAAACACAUGUAAUGAGCUAAUAUACAUAAAACAGAAAGAGAAAAAUCAAUUGACUCUCCCACUUUGAAUCGCAAUUAUUUAUUUUUGAUUCAUUUCUAUUUUCAUUUAGAAGUUGAAAAUUAUUUACAUAAAAUUAUUCUUAAAAAAUAUCACAAAAUCUCUCUAAACAAGUAAAUAAAAGUAGAGAAGGAUUAGCAAGUGAAAAGUUACUCAAAUUUGAUGAAAAUCACUCCUAUAUCUAUUUAGAUCCACGACUUUAAAACAAAAUUUUAAAUAAGAGUCUAAAUAAGUUAACUUAAUUAAAUUGAUAGAUAUAUAACAAUGGGUAAUUAGUAUAAAGUUAAAAAAGUUUUAAUUAAACUAAUACAAAGUCAAAAUUUAAAAGUAUAGAUUAAAUUUUGUAGUCCCUCUAGAAGUGAUGUUAAAUGCGCAACAUCAUUCAAGUAAUUAAUCCACUUAGAAUCCAUAGUUUUUGUUGAGUAGAGAAGUCUUCAACAAUGGAAUUCCAUCACAAACUAAGAACCUUUUUUGUAACAAAAAGAGGCCAAAUUUAAUUUGUUCACGUAAAGUGUUACAAAAAAAAGUCACUCAAUUUUAUAUUAUAAAUAAAAAGAAAGAAUGGAAACUACCAAAUUAUGGAUUAUACCUGAUUAUGGAUUCAAAUAAAACUUUGUCUCAUAUAUAUAUAAAACUUAUAGCUUAGCUUAUAAGUUUACUUUAGAAAGACUUCCACAUUUUGCUUCCAAACCGUCUUUAAAGUUGAGGGACCUAAUAUUCAUUAUACAAAAUUAAAAGUCAUGAUAUGUAAAUAAUUAAUAAGGUCGUAGUUGUACAAUCUAUAAAACAUAUGUCAUAUUUGAAUAAUUAAACGGUCAAAGAUCGAGGAUGAUAAUGAUGACGAACUAAGUUGAUUCAAUGAACAUGAUACUUUUAUAUGUAUAUUCAUGUUAAUAUGAUGAAAAUUGUUGACAUGAACAAUAUUUGAAAUGUAAGAUAUUUAUGAUUUAGACUAGUUAACAAUGAAAUGAUGAAAAAGAGAAGGAUUAUAAGUUUUGAAACGUUACAAAAACGUUGGUUGAGUUAGGUCAUAUUUUGAAUAGUGUUGAAAGGAUGAUGUUUAAGAUUGAAUGCAUGCACACCCACCAUAUUUAUUUGAAGUGUGCCGGCCAAAGGCAUCAUCACAAAAACACAAAUUAAUUCUAUCAACACUUUGACUUUUUGACUCUCAUUAUAUACACCAAACUUCCCCACCUCAUGACUUCCUAAUGUUUAGUCUAUUUUUUCCAAUAGUGUGUUAUGGGGAUGAUCCAUUGCCCAUUAUGAACGAAGGGGUGAUUCCAAAUUCUCUCCAUAGUCCCACUUUUAUCAUACGACUUUCAAACGUGGAUCAAACUUUAGGUAUUUGUGUAAUGAUGUCAACCAUAUAUCGUGUCAUUUCAUUGAGGUUUUAAGUCUUAUUUGUAGUCGUUUGUCAAAAUUCUAGAAGCUUUUUUGUGACGGUAUUGUGUGAUUAUAUUAUAACAUCUAGAGGUAUAAUAAUUUGUGUUUGAAGUCAAGCAUAUAGAUACAUACACAAACAACUUCUCUAACUUCAUAAUAUUGGACAAAAGUAUAUAUCUAAAAGUGGUAUUUGCAAAGUAUAUAGAGAACAACCCACUAAUGAUACAAAAAGUAUUUUCAAAUUAGACGAUAAGAGUUCAAGAUGAAGGAAUCAUCAAAGUACGUUUAUCGAGAUCAAAAAACUUACGAUAUACUAAAAUAAUUUCUUAUAUAUAUAUAACAUGAGUGGAAAAUGUAUAAAUCGUUAGAAAAAUUUCUCAUUUUAUUCUCUAAUAUUAUGCAUAGUUUUUUGUUUUAAGCUUUGUGAAGACCCAUAAAAUGUAUUACAUAUACUUAAACACAUGGUUGGAUUGACAAAAAAAAAAAGAUGUUUUAAAUAAAUCAUUUUCAUCCAAACACUUUGUAUAACAACUUAGUUAUACUUAAUUACAUUCUUGAAGACAAAUUUGUUAAGUCUGACAUAAUCAAAGUGGAUGGUUGAUAUCUAUAGUUUCAAAAAGAAAAAUAAAUAGCAAAGAGAAAGUACUUGUGAAUUAAAUCAAAGCAAUGAGAAUGGUUAAUUAAGUAAACCAAUAUCCACAAAAGGUAAAAGACCAAGUUCAUUUCCCUUUCAAUGUUUACAAUAUUUUACACCCAAUUCUUUUAAUUUGAUAAAAAGGAAUUCAAAUGUCAAAAAGGAUAGUCAAGAAUAUUUUAGCUUUAAUGUUCCCUCAAGAUUAGGUAAGUUUGGCCAAAAGAUAUUGGAAGAGAGAGAGAGAGAGAGAGAUAUCCAAAGCCACAAAAAGACAAAUAAAUGAGCAAAAUACACAAACUAUUCAAAAUAAUAUUUUUUUAUUUUCUUCUUCUCUUUAAAAAUGAAGAAAAUGAACUUUGAACUUAAUCUUGUCGGCUUCUUCAAUACUUUAAUUUGAAAUUACAAUAUUAUUUCUUUUUAAAACAACUAUUAAUUAAUAAUCUUUUGUUAGAGACUUUUAUCUAAAGAAAAUAAAAUCUUUUAUUGGACUUUGUUACAUUCCUUACUUUGUACCCAACAAUUGUUUGAAGAUAAUAAACUAAUAGAAAUGUAAACAAAAAUUCUUACAUUGAUCCAAGAAAAAAGUGAUCGUGGAUAUAUAUAAGCAAUUAUUUGUAUUGAUAAGACUUCUACAUAUGGUCAUGAUUUGUGAAGUUGAAUGUAGGUAAGAAAAGGAAUGUAUAUAUAUAUUUCACAAGUUUUUUCCCUAGGUAGCCACUUUAGGUCAUUUUUAAAUGGGUACUAUUGGUAUAAAUUUUUAAGAUAUCGAUCCUUUAUUUUUUUAGUUUUAGUAUACAUUCAAGUUUUAAUUCCUUGAUCAAAGUGAGCUUAGUUUAACGGUAAUUGAUAUGACUUUCUAUUUUAGAGAUGUGAGACGUUCGAAUCUCUCAACCUUCAAUUGUUGUACUAAAAAAAGUUUCAAUUACUUGUAUAUAUUUCACCUCAAGCUUUAAUAAUUAUUUUUAUUCAUUUAGUAGUAAUUAAAACUUUAAAGGGAGAGAUUAUAAAAAGAAAAUUGAUAGGGAUUGAUUUAUUUUGAUGCAUUGUGAUAAAUUGAAUUAAUAUUUUUAUCGACGAAUUGUAAGUAACGCCCUCGAACAAAAUUUGUAGAUCCAACAACUGGCUCGAUUAUAGUCCCAUUUUGAAGUUAGGUUUCACGCAAUAACAUUUGCAUAUAUUCUAAUAUACUCCUCGUUGAAACUCAUGGAGAGAUAAUCAUUUUUACCUCAUGAUAUGCUCAUAUUUUCUUUGUCAACUCAUCAACGUGGAAUCCAUAUCUCUAUGCAUAUUGUAUAAUUAACUUACCAAUUAUACAUUUCAUUCUUCACACACACGCACACUAAAAAGAAAUCCAAUGUAAUUUUAUUUCCAUGCUACUAUUCUAGGCAACUUUUAAGUAGUUAGUCAAUACUUAAUUAGCGGUAAUUUGAUAUGAUCUUCCUUCUAUCUAUUGUACUAAAACGCAAACUUUUAGAUGGUUAAAAGUUGUUAAGUGUUUAUUGUGAAUUUUUUGGUCAAAUUUUGGUUGAAACAACACUUCAUAUAUUUUAUAUAUGUGUGUGAUCUAACUGUUGGGUUGGCCAUGCCCAUGCUCUAGAUGAACAUUAUUUAUAAUGAGCCCUCAGUCCAUGUAAUAUUCCUCCAAUUAAAUAUUAUAAACAUGAUGAGAAAAGGGAAAAUAAUAAUAAUCCAAGACAAAAUUAAAUGAGGUUUAAUAAUUAACUAAGAUUAUAUAUUGGAAAUUCAAAUAUCAUCUAAACUCAAAUACAUCUCAUCCAAAUAAGAAAGUUCACUUUCAUCAUCAUCAUCAUCUUCCUCAUAACAAAACAUACUUCUUCCAAUAAUAUUAUUGUUUUCUUUUGCUUCAAAUACUCUACAUACAACCCAUAUUCCAAACUCCUGUUCAAAUCACAACACAUACAAUCACCUUAAUAAAUCAACCCAACAAUAAUGUUUAAAUUAAAUAACCUAACAAUUCGAACAAUCUAGACUAUCCAAUCUAAAUUGUAUAGACUAGGUUAGGGUAACCCAAAAUUUAGAAAAUGUAACCAACAACUCACUCUAAUCUAACUCGAAUUUUAAAGAUUUGGUUCGAUUGGGUUGAAGAUACAAUCAUUUUGGGUUGCCAAUUUGGUCCAAAAACUUUCCAUAAUCCAACUCAAUCAACCCAUUUACCUUCACCUAAUUAAUCUCUAUACACAAUUAUAAAAUAUACCAUCAUUCAACCACUACUACAUAGUUUUAUGUUUUUCUCUAUUUAAUUUAAUUAUGCUCUUAGGAAAAUACAUACACUAGUUAAGUUUUUUUUCUUGAUAUGGAUUGUAUAGUUAUAUAAUCUUGUAUCUAUUCAGUAUUUGAACUUUUGGAUUACAAUUUAUGUGAACCUCCAACUUUAUCAAAUAGGUUAUUGAUUUUCUUUCAACUAUUUUUAUAAUUUACAUACCUUAGUGAUCGUAAAACAUUAAUAAAGCUUGAAGUCUAGAUUUGUUAUUAUUUUUAAAAAAUUUAAUAUGUCGUGAACUUAUUAAAUACAAAAUCUAAAGUUUAAAGACACAUUUAAUAUUUAGGAACCCUUUUACCAAACUUUAAAAGUUUAAGAGAUAAAUUUGUAAAUGAAUCUGCAUCCAAAUUAUCUAAAUACUUUUUUGGUUUUUUAAGCUUUUAAAUAUGAUUUUCAUUUUGGUCCUUAAAAUUUCUACUUCCGUUCCUAAGCUAUAAAUUUAGUUUUUAUUUGGUGAUAAUACUUAUCUAAAUUAAAAUUUAAAAAGUUACAUUUUGCCAUUGUGUUUGAGUUUUUAUUUCCAUUUAGUCUAUAAGCUUUAUAGUUUUAUACUUUUACUUAAGAUAGUAAAAAGACCAUAGUACCAAAACUAGUAAUUUCACAUAUAUUUUUUUAUUUAAUAAAAAAUUAAGUACUAAGUGCCAACUAGAAUGAACAUAUACUUCAUUUAGCAAAAAGUUUGUACUACAAAUUUCAAGAUUAGAACUUUAUUGAUUAUUCACUCCACGUAUUAUUUUUCUAGAAAAACACCCGCCAUACCAAUUACUUUGUCUGAUUUUGAGGGGAAAACAUGGUGAUCGAAUCUAUAACGAAAUGAAAAAGUGUAAAAUGAAAGAAAACGAAAAACGAGAAACAAGGAAAAAUAGUGAAAAUGUAAGAUUCUUGAGUUGUUUCACUUACUGAUUUUGUUUGUGAUAGAUUAUUGUUGUUGUUUUGAGAUGGAUGAGUAUGAUCAUGAGUGUUCAAAAGGUAGUUGUAAAUGUGAUACUCUUGCAUGACCCAACUUGUUUGAAUGGGUGUUGGUGAUUCAUCAUCUUCUUCUUGAUCACCAACAAAGAAAAUAUGAUAUUUUUUGAUACCCACUUCAUCCCCAUUGGCACCGCAAAAGAUUGGUUCAUCCAUUAAAACAUCUUUCCAAUAUCCACUCUCUGUUGCUCUACUUUCUCCCACUCUGCUGAAAAAGUAAUGAAUGUCCCCAUUUGACAGUGUUUUACCUGUGAAACACAAUAAAAUUUUAACUUUAAAAUAUGUGUUUUGGUUGUUUCAAUUUGGUUCAUAUAGAUACAAAAUUUAUAAAUAUAGAACUUUUACUUUUCACUUAGUAUUAUUGCUCUCGAAUUUGAAACUUAAAUGAAAACUAAAACAAAAACUCAAGAAACAAAAACAUUUUAAGUUCUAAUGAAGUCUACAAGUUUUAGAGAAGAUAAAACAAACUAGAAUCAAUAUUUACUUUAAAGGAAAACGUAAAAUAACACACACAUAUAUAUAUAAAUUUUAAAAGCAAGAUCUUAUGCUCUUCCAAUGCUCCUCAUCAAUCUAACUUAAAAGCUAGCUUGACUUCUUGUACCUACUGCAUGCAUAUAUAGCUAGCUAUAUUGUUCUUCGCAUAAUAAGAGAAAAGAUAGAGGGGGGGAGAGAGAGAGAGAGAGAGAGAUUAUGUAUAUAUUAUAUUAUACCAUGGAAUUGCCAAGGGUUAUAGAGAUGAAGCUGAAGAUGAGGAAUAAUAAUGGAAUUGGAAAAACGAUGAUGAGAGUUAGCUUUGUGAUAGAGAAAGUGAAGCACAAGGUCUUCAUCAGUUGGGCAGAAUCUAAGACCAGGAGGCAACAGAUUUAAGCUAUUAUUUCCACUUAUCCCACCUUCAUCCAUAUUAACAAACUCAAUCAUAAUAAUAUAAAUAACAAAUACACAAUAAUAGUAUUCUUUUCUUUUUUCUUUUUGAGGAGGUAACUAGGUUAAGGCCUAGUAGGUUUUAAUGGAGAAACUUUGCACCACAUUUGGCCUAUUUAUAUAUAGAAAUUAAAUGCAUAUAUGAAAUUAAAUUAAAUAUAUAUUUAAGAAGAGGAUAAUAUUAGUGCAUAUAUGUGUUUUGUUUCAUUGAUUUAAUAAAGGCAUUUUUUCCCAACACCAUGCUUCCUUGACCCACACUUUUGGAAUGAAAACAAAAUCAAAAGUAACUUUUUCUUUUGCUUUGUUUUUAUUGUAAAAGAGACACAAAAAGAAAAAUAAAGAAAACAGUAACUACUACUUUAUAUGGUCUACUAACACCAACUUGUGAUCAUAAACUUUAGGUUUAGCUUACAUUUAUAUUUUAUUUAUUAGGUAUAUGGUGCUAUAAGAUAAUGUUUAAGUUAAUGAUGGAAAAUUAUUUUCAACCAAAAGAUGAAAUUUUCAGUACUUUUUUGGGGGAGAAGUGACAAAGCAAUAGCAAUUAAAUGUUGUAAUUUUGUUUUAUUUAUAGAAGCAAUGAAUUAAUGGUAUUUAGUGAGAGUGAAAUGGUGUGGAUUGCAAAUGGAUGAAAUGAUAAAUGGGUAAUCAAUCAAAUCUGAACAUAGUGGGUGUCGUUGUUUGAUGAACUACUGCCUAAAUCAUUUUGUUUAAUCUAAUGCAUAAUUACGUUUAAAUUAUUCCCUCUCUUUGAUUAUUGACUUCACCAAUAUUUCUACCAAACAAAAAUAGAAGAUGAGAUGUAUUAAUCCACUAAAUGUUCCUUUGGAUUUUAAAGUCUCUAUCUAGUACAAUAAUAAUGACAAUUAUAUAUGUAGAGAGAAGAGUCACACCCUAACAAUUUAAUCGUGAAAGAAAUUAUUAACAUUUUGGGAUAGAUUUGAAUAAUGUUAAAUAUAAUCAUCAAUAUUGAUCCAAAAACUUAAGUUAAUAAGUGCACGUUCUAACGUUCAACAUUAUUAAUAUGAAUUCCUUAGGGUUGCUUGCUCAUGAACAUUUUGUAGUAAAGGAUCUUUCCAAAGAAAAAAAGAUUUGAGAGGUGUGAGAAUUGAUUAUAUAUUAAAGAUGAAAGACAAUUAUCAUAUAUUAAAAAUACUUAGAAUAUUGAUUGAUUUACAUAGUAAAGACAAGAUUAUCAAGGUAUUAAAACACUAAUAUAUACCUUCAAAAUUCCCAAUAAAUCAUACCAAUAUACACAAACAAACAGGAUGAAACGUUAGUUGACUCACCAAUUGAUCAAAAACUACUUUAAGUUUUUUUUAAAAAAAUAAGUAACAACAAAAAUAAAUAUAAAAAUUAGUAUAUUAUUAGAUUAAAAUACUUUGUGAAAGGGAUCUAAUAAUAAGUGGUGACAAAUAUAUUAUUUUAUGGAGUGAUGUAGAAUCAAAUCUAAUGAAGCCCUUAAAAUUAAUAAACACUCACGAGAUCGAUCAUUCAUUGUUUAUAAAAAAUACAUCAUCAUUGUUUAUAUGAAAGCAACUUCUUUCUAUUAUUUUUUAUUCUCCCAUCUCAUCAUUUUGUUGGAUGGGAUCUUAACACAUAUAUACAACAGAUUCUGCCAAUUAGAAUAUCUAUAUAGUUCUUUGAAAACAAAACAUAUAAUUCUAAUCCAAUAUAGUUGACAGACAAGUUUUACCACUCCAACACAAUUUUUUAUAUUAGAAACUUUGGUAACACUCUACUCCCUGUUAUGAUCACUUUCCUACAUAGGAGAAUAAACAUGUAUUUAUGCGUGCCAUUUAGUUGCAUUCAAAUUUUCUCGUGAUAGUUGUUCUUUAUUUUAGAAAUUCAAUUGUCCUAUACAUUGAAAUAGUUUAUAGAAAUGAUGGGUUUCAAUAUGCCUUUGGUUUCAAAUCAUCCUAAUUAGAAACACUUUUAUAAGUUUGAAUGUGCUAAUUAAUUCUUGUUAAAUUCUCUUUUGUAAUUUUAGUUUUGAGAGGUGAGAUUAAAAGGUGUGAGUAAUACUAAAGUUUUGAGAGAGUGUUCUUGUAAUUGAGAUUGGAAAAAGAACUAUUUAUAUUAUGUGUGAUAUAUUAUAACAAUUUUCACACGGUAAACUUCUUUUUAGUUAGUAGGUCAUGGUUUUUUUCUAGGUUAAGAGAUUUUCGUGUAAGCCUUGUGUUUUCUAUUAUUUUCUUUUAAUUUCUAUAUCAUCUUUCUACUUAUUUUGUCAAAGAGAUGAUAGAUUUUUUUUUUCUUCUAACAAUUGGUAUUUCAUAGCCUUAAAUUCAUAGUUUCUUGAAUGUUUGAGUAUACGUUUUAUAGUUACCGCACUAUUUAUAUACUUUCAUGUCACUAUUUAUAUACUUUCAUGUUAGAAAAUCGUAAACACUAAACAUUAAACGUAUUAUGAAUAUUGUGAAUUGGUUCACGCUACUUAUAAAUUAUUUAGAAGUGCAGCAAAUAUACGUUAAUUAGGUUUAUAAGGUGAAUAUGAAAUUUGUCAGUAUAGAAAUGAACUCAACUAAGGAGAACAACUUCAACUUGUACUGAUCAUAAUUGUAUUAUGAAUUAUACAUGAGAAUAAAGAGUGGUAAGUGCAUUGGCCUAAUAUUAUUAUGCAUGCUUUGGUUUAUCAAAAGCCAUAUCAUUACGUUACAACUCAUUAGGCUAUUCAAAAUGAUUCCCAUUUAUUGUUUUAGUUGAGAGGUCAUAUCUAAAAGCAUUUUGAAGGAAUAAUCUCAACCACAAAAGCGAAGCCACUUUUGUGCUUAUCCCAAUACAAAAGGAAAGAAAAACACUUUGCAAUUGCAAUUGAGUUGCAACCCAACUCUUUUCCCAAUAUUAUCUUAUUUAUUUAUUAUUAUUAAUUAGUUAAGUUUGAAUGCAACUUGUUUGUAGUUGCAAACAAAUACUAUAUUAUUUGGCAUUUGUUAUAUAUUUGUUUUGAUAAUCAUUUAAACUAUUAGAACACAGUUCUAUACAACUAAUAAGUGAUGAUCACCAUUAGACAUUUAGGAGAGAUUUGUAGUGCGAAAGUUUAAGAACCUAUAGUUUAAAAAUGGUAAUGUAUAGGAAAUCUACAAUUCUGGAGAUAACUAGACAUAGUAAAAAAUUUAAGAAUCUCUAGUUCCUUUACAAUUAUCAUGAUUAUAUGUAUAUCUAAUCAUCCAAAUUAGUUCUAGAGUAGUACUUAGCUUCAAUGUAUAACUAGUAUUAGUCCACGUGAUAUAGCAUUAGAUCAAUAGUUUAGUGCUUUUUCAAAGAAAUUAAAAAUGGUUGAUAAGAGACGAAUAAAUUGAUAGAUAAUCAUAACUAUUAAUUUUAUUUCUUGCUCCUUUUUUCUAACCACCACUCACUUUAAAAAUUGACAUAUGUUUCUUUUUCGAUAUAGACAAGGCAUUAUUAGUUCAAUCUAUAUAUUUAAGUUAGCAUGGUUUAUUCUUAACUCAAUCAUAUAAACAUGGAAAUAAUCUUUCACCCUAUACUUACCUAGAAAUUUAAUUCAUAUUAGUACCUAUAAUAUAGGUAUUUCAAAAUCAAUAAAGGGAAGAAUAAUGAAUUGAAAAUCCCAUCAUUAGUUCAUCUUGUUUUCAAUCCUUACAUAAAAUUGACACAAUAUCCUAGCAUGCAUUUAAUCUUUCUUAUUGAUUUUAAAAGUCUAAUUUAUUUUAUAACAUUUAUAAAAACUUUUAGACUUAAUCAAUCAUUUUAUCAAUAUAUAACCUUAUAAAAACAUUCAAUUAAUAUGGAUUUUAAUUUAUUUAACUUUAAUUAAAUCAUAUUUAAUUUUAAUUUAAUUAAAUCAUAUUUAAUUAAAUUAAAUCAAACAAUAACUAAUUAAUUUGAUUAAAUCAUAUUUAAUCAAGAAUAACUUAAUUAAUUAAUCAUAUUAAUUAAUUUCCAUAUUAAUCAAUUAACAUGCAUACAAUACAAUAUAACAUUUAUAUUAUACAUUUUAAUGCAUGAACAUGUUAACCUAUGGUGGGAUUUUAAAUCUAUAUGACAUUCAAAAUGCACAUACAAAUUUAAAGUAAUUUAAUCAUACAUCACAUGCAUAAAUAAAAAAACACCCUAAAAUGGACUGAUUUUUGGCUCCUAAAUUAAGUUAAGUACUAAAUUAUUACAUAAUUAAUUUGGUGUAGUACAGAACCACUCCCAAAAACUUCGAACCGGCUGAAAAACUAACCGAAACCCCUUGAACCGGCCCAAAAACCAAAUUUAUUGGCUUGAACCGGCCCAAUUAACUAAACAGGCCCAGGCGCACACGGGUCGGGCGCAGGCGGGCGCGGCGGGACAGGCAGGAGGGCGCGCGGCGCAGGAGGGCGCACGGGCGCAUGCGGGCGCGCGGCACAGGCGGGCGCGCGGGCACAGGCGGGCGCAGGAGGGGCGCGCGGCGCGUGGGACGCAGGCGGGUCGCGCAUCGGGUCAUGACCGGGUUUUCGGGUCUGUGACCUUCUUUUCUUCAUUUUUUUUCAAUUCUCUCACCCGGUUGAACCCGUUACAGCCUAACUUCAACUCUAAUGACUUUUUUAGUUUUUAAAAAAUUACAAACACUUUGCAACAAUAAAAAUAAGCCAUUAACAAGGCUAAUUACAAUAAUUAGAACAAAAACACUUAAUCUAGAGCCAAAUUCAUAAUAUAUCCAUUUUAGUUCAAACCAAAAUUUAUCUAAUAAAUAUGAACCCACCACAUACAAUUGGGUAAAAAUGAAGCAUGCUCUGAAACCACAUGUACCAACUUGAUCACCACAAGUCCCAACUUGAUCACCACAAGUCCCAACUUGAUCAUUGAUGGUACUUGUGGUGAUCAAUGAUCAAGUUGGGACUUGUGGUGAUCAAGUUGGGACUUGUGGUGAUCAAGUUGGGACAUGUGGUUUCAAAGCAUGCUUCAUUUUUACCCAAUUGCAUGUGGUGGGUUCAUAUUUAUUAGAUAAAUUUUGGUUUGAAAGUAAUGGAGAUAAAAUGGGAUUGGAAGGUUUCUUUUUUCUUUUGUUGAGAUGAUGAAAAUGAUAAAAGAGGCAAAAGUUCUUCAACAUUUGAAAACACCUCUAUUUAUAACCUAAUUACAUGCAAAAAUGCAUGUAAUUCAUUUGCCAAAUCUCAACACCUAAUGUUCCACUAACAAUUAGUGGGCUAGGUGUCUAUAUCUCAUAUAGCCACAUAUCCCACUAAGAGUUAGUGGGAUUAUCCAACAAAAUGUUGGAUUUUUCCACUAACUUAGUCCAAGGGUAAAAUGGUCAUUAGAUAUUUCUAGUCAAAAGUCAAACUUUGACUUUUCUAAGUCAAAAGUCAAUAUUUUGACUUUUUACCAUUUUGUCCGUCUUGACUAAUUCCAACCUCCCGAGCAUGAAUCCGCAUUCAUUUUUCCAAAAUUCAAAUCACAUUUGAAUAUAAGGCCGGUCAAAGUUUGACCUUUUCAAAGUCAAAAGUCAACAUUUUGACUUUUUACUAUUUUUGACCAAUUCCAUCAAUUCUGAGCUUCUUAGUAUGAAUCCGCAUUCAUACUUAUAGUAUGUAAAACAUAAAGCUCUAUUUCUAAUUAGAAGACCGACGACUAUAUCACUAUAUUUGUCGGUUUCCCUUUCUUCUCCCAAUUCGAAACAAUUCGAGCUUAUUUCAUCACACUGUUCUAAGUUUAAUCCAUAUGAGCUAGCAGAGGAACCUAAUGGACCUAUAGAUCAUGGGCUCCAACGAUUCAAGAUUAACUAGCUAAACUCUUUUAAACCGAGUUAAUCAACAUUCGUUAACUAACGGGUCAUUCCACUAAAGUCCCGUAGUUGCACUCCCCUCACUAUAGAUAUAUUUGUGUCCAUUUGAUAAAACCAUAAUCAGUAAGUUAAUCCUUCACAGGUUGCUCGUAACCUUGGCUGGGUCAAAAUACCGUUUUACCCCCAAGAUUACAUCUUGCUCCUUAAGUCCCACUAAUCCACUAUUGAACAAUUGGUUUAAGGUUCAACCUAUAAACUUAAUCCCUCUCGGGCCAAUGAGAGGGUGGGGCCCCUUGUUCAAGACUUGGAUUCAGUGCUUAAGAGAGCAACCUAUCUACUAACCCUAAAGCGGGUAGGAGUGAAUUCCAUCUUGUACCCUAUGUUCCCAGCUAUCCACCGAUCUUACCCCUGAAAUGGGAGGCUUAUUGGGCCAACGCUGAUGAGCUGCCCUCACCUAUGCAGAUCUAAGGAUAAUCUCGUGUGAACAGGAGUUCAUAGUUAACUCAGGAUUAAGACUAAGUUACCUAGGUCAUCAAUAAUUGAGAUAGUCAGUUUUAAACAGUAAACGGUGUUAUAACGUAAAAAUGACUAAUUCAUGGUUCAGUCUUAUGUAAACAUUUUACAUAGGAUGCCCCCACUUUCAUGUCUCUACAUGAACGAUUAGGAUCACCUCGUUUGUACUACAAAGUGGGCCGCAUCCAUAGUUUCUCUAAAUAAGGCGCCCAACCUUUAUUUCAUAUACUAUAGACUAUUUAGGCUAUAUACUCGAACUUGAUCCACGUUUAUGUUUACACAUAAAGUUCAAGUUUAUUCAAAAAAUAGCCUUGGAACUUGAUUUAUUGGAUUUAAGAUUAUAAUAUUUAAUUUCUCAAUAACAACUUUAUUGAACAGAAUAUGAUUUACAAACUACGAGUUUUAGGACAAAAAAUUCCAACACUAAAGAGGUGCAAGAUAAAAAUAAAACAAUUAAACCCUUCAAAAACAAGUUUUGGGAUAAAAAAAAUGAGUAUGUGGCAUCACUGGUCACUUUUUGUGGAAAUUUUUUUCAAUAUUAUUCAAAAUGAGACUAUCUAGUAGUCAGAUUUGAAUUUUCGAUACUUUUCACAUUGUUCUAAAUUGGGUCGUUUCUUUGUAAGCUAUAGCAUGGACAUUUUUAGAACCGUUUUGGGUGCUACCAUAAUACAUCACUAAGGAGCACCAGUCUCGACCAUUAUGCAAUUUUCUGUGUCAUAGAGUAAUGCAAAAGAUAGGAUGUCGCACUUAUCAACCCACAAUCAUUGAGUUAAAGAGGUGCAAGAUAAAAACAAAAAAAAAAAUUAAAAUAAACGCUUCGAAGACAAGUUUUGGGACAAAAAUAAAACAUGAGUCUUAGAGCAUCAUGGAUCAGGUUUUAGUUUUUGUGGGGAAAAAAACUUUAAUAUUACUCAAAAUGACACAAUCUAGUAGUUAGAUGUGAAUUUUCGAAACUUUUUAACAUUGUUCUAAAUUGGGUCGAUCCCAAUUAAUUUUCUACUUUGUAACAAUGUUUCAUUUAUGUCAAUGGUUAGGUUGGAACAAGAUAUAAGCGUUAGGUAUGAAAACGGGUCAUGUUUGUUUAUUUUUCUAGAAAAAAAAAAUUGACAUAAUCCAACUCAAAUUUGGUUUCACAAAGAAGUUGUUCGACUUGACUCGGAAAAAAAUUAGAAACAAAGAGGAAGACCUUGAACAACCUAAAUUUGAUAGAAUUUAGGUAAUGAAAAUGAUUUGAAGAUCCAUGAAUGUGAAGGGCAGCUCAAUUAGAUAUGAAGUACAUAAUGAUCAUGUUGAUUAUUAUUGCAUGCAUUUAGGUUUGAAAACCAUGAAGUAUUGAGAAAACAUAAAAGUGAAAUUCAAAGUUUAAUUUGGAUGAUUGGAUGUUUUUGUUGAAUAUGAUUUGGGAUAGACACUAUUUUUCCACCUCUCUUAAUUCAUCAUUCGCCAAAUGGCUACACAAUUAUAUACAUCCAAUAUAUAAGAGAUAUAUAAUGAUGAACAAUGUUUCAACUUUAAUUAAAGUGAUGGAAUCAUGGAAAUAUAUGUAAGAACGAUGAGUUCGCAUGCCAAAUUGCCAUAAACCACUCCAUCUUCAUUGAUUUCAUAAGUUAUAUGAUAACCUUUUCUUUUUCUGUUUUUCAUUUUUUACUAUAGAUUUUUUAAAUUAUUAAUUUCAUUUUUCGUUUUCAAUUUUUGAAAAGAAUAAACAUUAGUAAGAUUGAAGAUAAACCCAAAUAAACAUUGGCCCAACAUAAGAUAAAACCCCAUUAUUAGCAAAAUGGGCUCAUAUGGGCUGUAAGCUUAUAAGGGUAACUACCCACGUGGGUCAUGUCUAUCGUGCGGUCAGCCGUCAACUCCAUAAUGGGUUGGAAUCUUUUUGGAUCUGGGCUAAUUGGGCCAAUUGGGUUUGCUCCAUUUAUCUUUAAAGCUAUGUUUGCUCCAUUUGAGUCUUGCACUCAUCCGUAUAACUCCAAAAGGCACUUGAGGCUUCUAAAGCUAGCUAGAUUUUCUCUAUCAAUAAACAAACUUGAAGACAAAGUUAGUAAAUUGGAUUAAGUGAUUUUAGUUUCAUUAGAGUGACCUAAAGUAAAAAAGUAGGAGAUGAGAUCUUCUGGUUUAGGGAUACACAGAGUCGUCCUAAGAUUGAUUUUGUGGAGUGAGUGGGCAUCCCAUUGGGUUUAACCAAACAACAUCUAGAGAUGUGAGAAAGGGUUGAAAUAGUUGGAUGGAAGAAAGAGAGAUGAAUGGAAAGGAAGUAAGUAUUCACGGGGUAACAAAAGUUUGAUAUUAUUAAAAAAGAAAAAGAAAACAAAGAGUUGAAAACAUGGAAAUGAGUUGUAAGGAAGGAGUGAUGGAAAAGUUUGGUUGGGUACCCAUUGACCACAAAACAAUGGUUCACGGGUGCCUUUACACUCUCUCACUACAUCCUUUUUUUAAUCACACAUUCCAACAAACACUAAGGCCAUUUUUCUUUUAACAAACAUAUACAAUUUACAUUAUUGAUAUCUUUUCAAUAUUUAACACAAUAUUAUAUAUAUAUAUAUAUGAAAAUUUGUAUGGAUGAAAAAUGAAUCAUAACGAAAUCAAUUUAUUUAACUAUUUUAAAAAAAACAUUAAUUUCAAAUAAAAACAAAGGAAAGAAAAUUGAUGUAUAAUUUCCACACAUAAAUAGUUUUAGGGCAAAGGACAAAAUAGAAAUAGGUAACUUUUGAGGACAACCAAGCAAUUUUUGAAAAAGUGAAGAAGAGCUGAAUCUUCUCUUUUGCUCUCAUCCACAAAAAAGAUUUGCCCAUUUUUUUCAUCUAUUUUUCCUUCAAUUUUAACCUUUUGUUUGAAUAGGAAUUAAUUCUCCACCACACAAAAUAAUGAAAAGCUCAUAAAUCCAAAUGCCUUUCUUACAAAAAUAUAAUAACACUAAUCACCCUUCAAUUUUUGUGGUCCACUAGUUUUGCAUGUAAAUCCAAAUCUUUGGACCCAUGGGGUGGAAAAAUUGAAUAAAUAUCUAAAUUUUUAACAUACUUUAUACUAAAUAUCAAUUCAUACAAAAAUAGAUUAUAAAUGUAAAGGAGUACUGUAUAGAAUAGAGAAACACCUCAAAUUAACUACAUAAUUUUAAUUAACAUUUAAGUUAACUAUACAUUAUUGUUUACUACAUGUAACAUUAAUACAUAAUAGAGAGAAAGUUUACCAAAAGAAUGUAAAUUGAACUUAUGGGUUCACUUGCAUGGUAAAAUUAGUAGUUACAAAGUAAAAAUGUUAUUAUUAUCAUCCCUAUUAAUAAACCUUUCUUGUUGGCUAAAAUAAUAACAAAGACAUGAUUGAGUAUUAAUUUAGGAAACCACAUAAUAAAAGUGCUAAGAAAUAGAAGGGAUAUGUUAUAUUACUUUAUAGUAUUGAAUCAAUUAUAAAGGUGAAUGACAAAAAAUAAUGGAGUUAGAUUAGAGUAAUGUAUGGUCAUAUGUACUUAAUAAUUAAUUAUUCUUUUACAUUAUGUCAUGUUUUUAUUUAUUUAUUUAUUUUUUUUUGGUCCAAUUCAUCUAAUUAUCAAUACAUUAAACUUAAUUAUUCAAGUUCCUUUUGACAUUAAAACUCAUCAUUUUAACUCUAUGAAAGGAUUUGGAUGAAAUGUGCAGUUGUAAGAUUCCUUACCAUAUCAAUUAGCUAUUUGUAUUUUUAAUUUGAUAGGAUGAUGUAAUUAUCAUUCUACUACAUAAUAAUACAAUUGAAUGAAGAUUGAUACAAACAAAAAGUAGUUGCAAAUAUAGCAAUCAAACCUAAACAAUAACUCAUCAUCUUUCAGUCUCUAAUAAGUUUGAAGUAGUAAGAAAAAAGAAAAGAAAUGAAAUGAAAAAACAAAACACUAAGAAUAAUUAUAUUUAAAGAAGAGAUAGAAUGCCAAUGUUGGCAUAUUGAGAGAGAGAGAGAGAAUGAGAAUGUGAAGAAAACAGUGUGUGUGUGUGUGUGUGUUUAAGGGCUUAGAAAGAAAGCAGUGAGCUGAGUUAGUAAGAAAAACCCAAAUCAGAAGAAGAUAACUGAAAUGAAGAAGCAAGAAGAAGAACAACAUCAAGAACAAGAAGGAUGCGACAUUGAAGCCAUAGGAAUCACCUACAAGAUUCAAAUCCAUAACUCCAAAUCCCCAUUUCUCAACUUCUUCUCCACCUCAAAACCCUCCCUCCGCCAUCGCCAUGUCCUUUCCGACGUCAAUUGCCAAGCCAAAUCCUCCCAAAUCCUUGCCAUUGUCGGCCCCAGCGGUGCCGGAAAAUCCACUCUCCUCCAAAUCCUCGCCGGCAAAACCACCCCUCACGGCGGCUCCCUCCUUCUCAACCACCUCGCCGUCGACCCUUCCUAUAUCAACCGAAUCUCCGGCUACGUCCCUCAAAAAGACUCCCUUUUCCCUCUCCUCACUGUCGAAGAAACUCUGACCUUCACCGCCCGCCUCCGUCUCUCCCUCCCUUCUGCCGUCCUCACCGCCAAGGUUACUUCUCUGAUCGACGAACUCGGUCUGACCCAUGUCGCCCGUUCCCGAGUCGGCGACGACCGAGUCCGUGGAAUCUCUGGCGGCGAGCGGCGGCGGGUUUCAAUCGGCGUGGAAGUGAUUCACGACCCCAAAGUUCUUAUUCUUGACGAACCCACUUCCGGUCUCGACAGCACUUCCGCUUUUCAGAUCAUCGACAUGCUGAAAACAACCAUGGCUGAAGCUCAGCGAAGAACCAUCAUUCUUAGCAUCCAUCAACCUGGAUUCAGAAUCGUGAAGCUUUUCGAUUCCAUUCUUCUUCUUUCCAAUGGCUCUGUUUUACACCAUGGCUCUGUCGAACAUCUCGGACUCAACCUCACUCUAAUCGGCCUUCAACCUCCUCUUCAUCUCAACAUUCUCGAAUUCGCCAUUGAAUCCAUCGAAACAAUCCAACAAACCCCAAAUCAAACCCAAUUGUUAAUCCCUCACUCCCAAUUAAAACCCCCUAAAUUCACCCUGCAACAGCUAUUUCAACAAUCCAAAGUCAUCGACGAGGACACCAUCAAAAUCGGAAUCCACAAAUCAAUCCCUCACCAUUUCGCCAAUUCCCCAUUCAAAGAAACGGCCAUCCUCAUGCACAGAUUCUCCAAGAACAUAAUCAGAACAAAGGAGCUUUUCGGUUGCAGAACAGUACAAAUGUUGGUAACAGGGCUUGUUCUUGGUUCAAUUUUCUACAAUCUCAAAUUCGAUUUAAUUGGUGCUGAAGAACGCGUGGGGUUAUUCGCCUUCAUUCUCACAUUCCUAUUAACAACCUCGAUCGAAGCCCUCCCAAUUUUCUUACAAGAAAGAGAGAUUCUAAUGAAAGAAACCUCCUCAGGUAGUUACAGAGUAUCCUCAUACGCCAUAGCCAACGGAUUAGUAUACCUUCCGUUUCUACUAAUCUUAGCAAUUCUGUUCUCAAUUCCAUUAUACUGGCUAGUGGGGCUUAACAGAAACAUAAUAGCGUUUCUUCAUUUCAUGCUGUUGAUAUGGCUGAUUCUAUACACAGCAAAUUCAGUGGUGGUUUGUUUCAGUGCAUUAGUGCCAAAUUUCAUAGUGGGGAACUCAGUGAUAUCGGGGGUAAUGGGUUCGUUCUUCCUGUUCUCGGGGUAUUUCAUAUCGAACCAGGAAAUACCAAAGUAUUGGAUAUUUAUGCAUUACAUAUCAGUGUUUAAGUACCCAUUUGAAGGGUUUUUGAUAAAUGAGUUUUCGAGAUCAGGGAAGUGUUUGGAAAUGAUGUUUGGGGAAUGUGUAGUGAGAGGAGAGGAUGUGCUGAAGGAAGAAGGAUACGGGGAAGAAAGUAGGUGGAGAAAUGUAAUGGUAAUGGUGGGGUUUGUUUUGAUCUAUAGAUUUGUUUCUUAUGUUAUUCUUAGAUGUCGAUGCUGCAGGAAAACUGGUUUUGUUUAACAGAAAUGAAGAAGAACGAAGAUGAAGAAGAUGAAGAAGAUUGAAGAUCGAAGAAGAAGAAUAAGGACAAAAAAAAAUCUCUCUCUUCACGAGUUUGGAUUUGAAAGAUGCUCUUAGUUCACGUGGUAGUUUUAAUUGUAGCCAAAGGUUAUACUCACACGUGUUUCUUUGUUCUUUCGGAUUUUUAUUUUUAUUUUUUGCCCUUUCUCUCUAACUAUAUAUAUAUAUAUAAUAUAUGUAAAAUUUUCUUUUAAAUUAACAAUUUGGUGUGUGGUUUGUUCAUCUAAGUUCAAAUUUAUUCAACCAAUUAUUUAGUAGAGAAAAGCUUAAAUGGUGAAAGUGAUUUUAAGUAAUCAAAAUUUCUUCUUACAAAAAUUGUGAAGUAUCAUGAAUAUUUCUUUUACAUAAUUCUUUUCUUCGGUAAAAGAUAAGUUCAGGUUAAACAAAACUAUUUUUUUAUUUAUUUGCCAAAUAUGAUAUUUAACAUAUUAUUACUUAUGAAACACAAAUAAAAGAAAGAAAGAAAAAAAGAUCUGUAAACAUAGAUUCAGAAAUCCAUAUUAAUAGAGAUAAAUCGUGUUAAUACCAUUAAAACAUACAUGCUUUGAAAGAACUAAUUUCAAAUGUUAGUUGUUUUAGGAAAAGAACAAGCAAAACCGAGAACAAUGACUAAGCAAACAAAACGUAGAUCCAAUCACAACUUUCAUAUAUGCGUGAGUAGUGUCACCUCAUUUCAACAACAAUCAUGGUUCAAGAUUUGAUUUAACUAACAAUUCUAUUCAUCACUCCCUAACUAUAGAAUCACCAAUUCAAUCAAUUAUAUCACCAUCAAAGAAAGAAAAAAAAUGGUAAAAAGUAUUUUUAUUUUUGAAUAAUUGAAAUGCUCCAUAGUUUUCAACCUUUAAUAGUUUAUUUAACAAAAAUUGUAAAACAUAGAAAUAUAUUCUAAAUAAAAUAAACGACAUAUAUCUCACAACUCCACCUUAACAAAUUUAACACUUGAAAAUAAACAUCAUGAAUGAAGACUAAAAAUCCAAACUUUCAAAAUUAAUAAAAAAAAUUCUCAAAUUUGAAUGAUUUUUAGAAAAGCUCUACAAAUAGUGUCUCUUCCCAAACUCGGUUAUUCCAAUUCUUUUUCUUUACCGUUAUUUUCCCCCUUCUUCAUCAAUAAUUUAUAAAACACUCUCCCAAAUUCCAUCCCCACCCCAUCCCUUCUUCUAUAAAACAAUGGACAAACACACGGUAACCUCCGAUGAACUUCUCGGAAUCAAAAUCUACACCGAAGAACACGCCAACGGCGGUGGGCGGAAAAGACGAGCAAUGGCAAAAGGAAUGCAAAAAACACGCUCAAAAACCUCAAUGCUAGCUAGUAAACUUCCUUCCAACCGGCACUCUCCUAACCUUCGAAAUGCUUCUGCCGUCGGUCUCCGGCAAGGGGGAGUGCACGCGGGUGAACACGAUGAUGAUAUAUAAACUUCCUCUUGGGCUUAUGCGCUUCUAUCCUGUUUCUUGUUUCACUUCACAGACAGUUUCAAAUUAGGCGUGGACGGGAAAGUUUAUUACGGGAUCGUGACGCGGAGAGGGCUGGCGGUGUUCAAGACGGGGUUGAGUGAGGUGGAAGUGGCGAAGGAGGAGAGGUUAUGGAAAGCUUUCCUUUGAUGGUGGGAAGCAUUUGUAGUGCUUUGUUUUUGGUGUUUCCUAAUACUAUAUAUUAUAUGGUAUUGGUUGUAUGGCUAAUUGACUCUAUUACCCCCCACCUUUUUUUUCUUUUUCUUAAUUGUUAGGAUUUUUUUAAUAAUUAUUAUUCUAAUUUUACUAAACUAUAAUCACCAAUUCAAUCAAUUAUAUCUAUAAAAGAAGAAAAAAAUUGGUUAUAUCUAUAAAAGAAGAAAAAAAAUUGGUUGUAUGGUCGUGUAUGUUGCCAUGGCCUUUGUUAAUUCUUCGAAACUAGAAAGAACAAAGAUCUCACAUAUUCAUACAGGUGGAAAAGAUAGAAACAUGCAUCGUUUUGAUUGAAACUUCUUUUAUUGAUAGAGGACGAAAAAACAAAUACAAGUAGUCAUACACCUAAAAAACGAUCAUCCAAAUCAAAAGAUAUGACCUAGAAACUAUCCAUUUCUCAUGUGUCGUCAAAUUUUGCCUAAUUGCUUCUUAGAGAUAGUUUGUUUUAGCUCCAUUUUCGUCCUUACACUCAAUUGUGCUUCUUUGAUGCUUAAAACCAGUAAAAUAAUCAAACAUAAUAAGAACCUAGAAUUAAGUGAAGCUAGAUAACAUAUUUAUGGUGCUAUCAUUUAUUUACCAUUUCACACUAUAAUUUUAUUAUUUCUAGUUUAUCUUACCAAGCCAGUGUCAAUUUUCUUUUCUCAUUCUCAAUGUUCUUUUAUUUGCUUCAAAAAUUCAAUUUGAAAAAAAAAAAUGUGAGAAAGUUGAGAAUUGAAGAGGAAAAAAAAGAACAAAAUUAGUUUUUUUUUUUGUUUAUUUGAUUAAUUAAUUCAAGAAUGUUGAUUAUGUUUGAGUAUUGACAUGAAAUAUUUAUCGAAAAAUUAGGAAGAAUUUUCAUCAUUUGUUGAAAUCAAAGUAAGGCUCUCUCUAAAAGUGCUUGUAAAAUUUGGUAACAAAAUAGGGUUUAAACCAAAAGAUUAUAAAAGAAGAAAAAAUAAUAAUUACUAAUAAUUAAUUAACAUUGUUGGGGCAGCCCAAAGAACGGUUGUGACCUCCAUUGCAGAAACAGAAGAACAAAGCUCAUUUGGUUGUAAAACCAAUAGAACGAAUCGAAAGCCUCCCUUGAGAGUUAUACAGUUGAAAAUGGAGCUUCAAGAUUUUGCGCCAAUUUUUGGUAAACCCACCAGAGUGGAGUGGGUAAACAGGGGUUCACUUUCUUUGCUCCAAUUUUUGUUCCAUGUUUAUUCUCCAAAUCCUUCGCACCUCAGAUUUCUUGUUACUGAUUUUCAUUCUAACACUUGGGAAUCCACCAAAUCAGCUUUCCAGCUUGAGGAUAUGGUGGGCAUCUUUGAUUUCUCCCUGUACGUCGUCUCUUUGUUGCAUCCUUCUUCUUUGAUUUCUAUUAAUAUGUUGUUCUUGCUUCUUUUUUUCCUCUUAGCAAAUGAUGAAAUGGGAUUGUUUUUUAGAAUUUGUUGGUGCGAAAAGCUCUACUAUUUUAUGUAAUCUUUGAUACAGAGAGAUGACAUUGGAAUUGGAGGGGCUUUUUCAGAGUUUGUUGAUUAUAUUGUUGCAUCUAUGAAAUUUGGAGAUGUAAGGCUUUGUAUGGAAGGACAAUCGGGGAAAGAUGGUAAUCUUCCUGAUAUGUAACUAAUUCAAAUUCUCUUUCCCAUUCAAUAUAUUGUGAAACUCACUCCUUUUUUUAUUAUUCUACAGGUGCAGCAUCUGUCAAACUAAUUGCUCAGAAAUCAAAGGGAAUGCCUGUAUUUUCCAUUUCUCUCACAAAACUUGUUGACUCUGCUGCUGCUGAAGCUAUGGCAACUAUGUCCUUGGGGCUUUUUAACUCAUUAAAAGAAAAGGAGUGUUCACUUAUGAAAGGUUUUCAUCGCUUAUCUAUAGACUGCCUAUAUUCUGUGCUAUAGUCAUCAAAUAUGUCGAUAUCGUUUGGUUAGAAAAAAAAAGAAUACAUUUUUAUAGUGUUUGAACAGAAGGAAAGAUGUUGGAGGUUCUUAUGAAAUAUAGUGAUCGGGUGGGCUCAGUGUGUGGAUCAUUCUAAUUAGAUGGAAGGAUAGGCAUCUUUAGUUUCUUUUCCCUUUUUGUUCCAUCUAGAUUUUGGUAUUUGGCUUUCAUUUCUCUCAAAUAACUUCUCACAGCAUUCUACAAAAUUGUUUGGUAUUUUGUUAAGGCCUUAGCCACAAUUUUAUUUAUCAACUAUGGGGAAGGAUUUGAGAGUUCCCCAAUCUCUCCACACUACUCUAAUGAGAGUCUAUACCAAAAUCAUUUAGCCAAAAAGAUACCCACCCCCAACAUUCACAAUACCUAAAUAGGCAAACUCUAAGAAAGCUAACAGAAUACUUGGCCCCACUUUAACAGUCAUACUCCUAAGGGCCCACCUUACGGGAAAUUACUAACUAACUCUCAAUCAUUCUUUCUUCUUCCCACUUUUAUUCCUAUGUGAAUACACCUUUACUAUGGGGGGUCUAUCAAAUUUGUAUCUGAACAUUGGCAUGUUGCAUUUUUUGUUAUGAAUUAUGCAUAUACAAAAUAAUUGUCUUAUAUUCAAAUGGAUAUAUUAGAAUGUGUCAACUCUCCGGUGUGUCUGUGAACUUUAAGAAUACCUAAUUUUGGUUCCAUUCGUAUGUGAUGGGCCAAUCCAGUCAAGCUGAUUUGAAGUAGGGAAAUAAACACAGUACUCUCAAUCAAAUCUGUCUUGGGAAGCUGUUUCUUUUUAGUCUCCCAUUGGUGUGGUUUUGUAGGACUGACUCAAAUAUCAUGUGCGAACUGCUUGAAAAUGUUUGUACUUGAAAAUUACUUUGUUUAGACUUUAGGGUACCGUGUUUAUUGAACAACAAACUACGUGAUGUACAUGGUUUUAGUUUUUCUUUCUUUAUUAUUAUUAUUUUUUUUUGGUAACUGUGAUAGCAUAGUUUGAUGUAAUAUUCAUUUAUAGGUUAAAUUUAGAACAAGAUUUUUCUCAGAAAUGUUCAAUUUUUUGCAUGCUUGCAUUGAAACUUAGCAUCUGUAGCAUUGACUUUUCUCCUAUACUGUUCUUUCAGAACAAGAGCACUCCCUUCAGUUGACAACCAUGAUAUCAACUGAAAAGGUAUAUCCAUCUUCGUCUUGCACCACUGUAAAUAAAUAUGAUACAUGGUGAUGGGCACUUUUAGUUUUAUACUUAUCGAUAGACUUCAUUAAUAAAUACAUUUAAUAAUACACAAUAUAACGAUAACAAGAUUUCUUCUGAUUUCUUCUCUUCCACAGCCUCUCUUAUAUAUCAGAACUCAAACAGUUUACUCUAGUCAAUACUGUUCCCUGUUAUUAGUCUGCAUAUGUUUUGUUAAUUUUUACUUCCUUUGAAACUUUAUUUAUUAAAUGUUAAUAAGAAAAAAGAUUAAAAAUUAAAAAUGAAGAACACGGAUGUUCUUUAUGUCUCACUUAUUCUUUCAUUAUAUAUGACCUCAUGUAACUUUGUUAGCCAUUUCUUGGUUGAAAAACAUUUUCCAUUACAAUACCAAUUGCUUCCUUAUCCCCUAUGGAUUCAACUCAUGGGUCUUUGAGUUUCUCUAUUUUUGUAUUAAACAUUUCUUAUUUGAGAUUAUACUUUUUGUUGAUGUCAGGAAAAGAACGAAAAUAUCCAAACUCAGCUCGGGCAAUAUAGAAAGAAACAGAAGUUACAAAAUAUGAAUGCCUCAAAUUCUCCUGGUAUGUUCCUAUAAUCAAUCCAUUUAAGGUAUUAUGAAAUUAUAUGUUAUGUACUAAAGGACUGAUCGAUUUUUUCCGUUCUUCACAGAUAAAUCUGGCGUACAUAAUAUUGGCUUGACAAAAGCCACCAAUCGUGUGGUGCCAGUACACCGGAGGUCGGUUUCUCAAAGUUACAUUCAUCACAUAAUUCAAUUGAUUUAUUCCCAAUACUAAUAGAUGUACUUAGCAUUGUAUUUGAACAGGGCGAAAGCUAGGGGUGCCCUUCUGCAAGACUCUGAAGAUGACAAUGGUAGGUAGAGAAGUUGAAUGUCUUGUAUCCAAUCUAGUUUUGUACAGAAUUUUGAUUUCUGAAAAGCUGCUCUAGCCAAUCACUCUCUUCCCUUUGAAUGGAGAAAAAAAAUCCCGUGGUAUUGAGUUCCUCAAUGGUUUGCUUAAAAAGGAACAGGAAAUCCUUGUUUAGGGUCAAGAGGCUAUCUCCCUGUCGUUAUCCCAAAGCUUUAAAACUUUUGUUUCUUCCAUGCAAGUUUUACUUUCUAGCACAUCCACGUUAAAUGAUCUCAUUUUUUCAUAUAUUUUCUUUUAAUCUACACUAAUAGAGAUGUUCCUUCCAUUUUUUUCCCAUUUUUUCUUACAGAAAAAGAGCGCUCCCUUCAGUCGACAUUCGAGGAAAAGGUAUAUUCAGUCUCCUGUCCCCUUUAUGAAUAAAGCACUUUGUCCUUUUAUAGACGGGUUCUUAUUGUCUUGAAAUACCUCAAAAUUAGUACAAGUAUGACCAUAGUCGUGGUGUAUUUUUGGUGCCUUCGGAGCGUAUUUUCAUCUUGCUCAUUAAUUGUUUGUAAAUUUUUUAAUCUACUUUUGAAUAUGUCAGGAAAAGAAAGAGGGGUUGCUAAAUACAGAUACCUUGGCCAUUGUAGACAAUCUUCAUAAGCCUCCUAGUAUGUUUUUUAUGGUUCCCUCUAAAAUUUAAGCUUAUUUGUUUUUAUUGAAAAGAGAGACAACGAGUUCACACCAAUUUACGUGGAAACUCGAGUACCGGGAGAAAAACCACGAUUGUUUGUUGUUAUUAUUUUCUAAUGAAUAAAACAAUAGGUACAGGGAGAAUAAAUAGAGUACACAAUGGAAUAAAAAAGGAAAAGAUUUAGGAAAAUAAGGAAUACAUUCCCAUAAUCUUUCCAUAAUUAUUCUAGGAUUCUAACAAGGAAAAAGCCUAGAAAAAAAGGAAAGAAUUCCAACACUCCCCCUCAAGUUGGGACGUAAAUAUCAAUGAGGCCCAACUUGCUAACGCAAAGUCGAAGUUUGGUCUGAGAAGCCCUUUGGUAAGAACAUCAGCAACCUGUUGACUCGAAGGGAUGUACGGAAUGCAUAUGCUCCCACUGUCAAGUUUUUCUUUGAUAAAAUGUCGAUCAAUCUCAACAUGUUUAGUUCUAUCAUGUUGAACAGGGUUGUUAGCAAUACUAAUAGCGGCUUUAUUAUCACAGAAAAGCUUCAAUGGUGUCUCACAUUCCUGAUGAAGAUCUGUCAAAACUUUCUGAAGCCAAAUUUCCUCACAUAUUCCUAAACUCAUAGCUCUGUAUUCAGCCUCAGCGCUGCUCCUGGCCACAACACUUUGCUUCUUACUCCUCCAAGUUACAAGAUUGCCCCAAACAAAGGUACAAUAACCAGAGGUAGAUUUUCUGUCAACAACAGAUCCUGCCCAAUCCGAGUCAGUGUAUGCCUCAAUGGUCUUUCUGUCUGUUUUUCUAAACAUCAGCCCUUUACCAGGUGUUGAUUUUAAGUAUCUCAAGAUUCUGUUGACAGCUUUCAUGUGUUCCUCAUUAGGGGUCUGCAUAAACUGGCUGACAACACUCACAGCAAAGGAAAUAUCAGGACGAGUAUGAGAUAAGUAAAUUAAUUUACCCACGAGGCGUUGAUACUGUUCUUUAUCAACUGGAACUUGAUCAUCAGAGUUUCCUAGUUUGCAGUUGAAUUCAAUAGGAGUGUCAGUGGGACGACAUCCUAACAUACCUGUCUCGGUUAACAAAUCAAGGAUGUAUUUUCUUUGAGAUACGGAGAUACCUUCUUUAGAUCUGGCCACCUCCAUUCCAAGGAAAUAUUUCAAAUUUCCCAAAUCCUUGAUUUCAAACUCAUCGCCCAUUCUCUGCUUUAGUUGACUGAUUUCUGCCUGAUCAUCUCCAGUCAAAACAAUGUCAUCCACAUAAACUAUUAGAACAGCAAUCUUUCCUGUUUUGGAAACCUUUGUAAAUAAAGUAUGAUCAGAGUGUCCCUGCCUGUACCCUUGGGACUUGACAAAGGUAGUGAAUCUGUCAAACCAUGCUCUGGGAGACUGUUUCAGACCAUAUAUAGAUUUCUGGAGUUUACACACAUGCUGACCAAACUGGGCUUCAAAUCCAGGCGGAGGGCUCAUGUAGACUUCCUCUACGAGGUCUCCAUUCAAAAAGGCAUUCUUAACAUCCAGCUGAUAUAAAGGCCAAUCUUUGUUCACAGCAACAGAUAACAGAACUCUAAUAGUAUUCAACUUAGCAACUGGAGAAAAAGUUUCUGAAUAGUCAAUACCAUAGGUUUGAGUAAAUCCCUUCGCAACUAACCUUGCCUUGUGUCUGUCAAGAGUACCAUCAGCUUUGUAUUUGAGAGAGAACACCCAUUUGCAUCCCACAGUUUUGUGUCCCUUAGGUAGAGUACAAAUGUCCCAAGUACUAUUCUUUUCAAGAGCUUUCAUCUCUUCCAUGACAGCAUUCUUCCAUUCAGGAUACUUUAAAGCAGUGUAGAUAUCUUUUGGUAUUAUGGUAGAGUCAAGGCUUGCUGUAAAAGCUCUGAACUGAGGAGAGAGACUAUCGUAGGAAACAUAAUUGCAAAUGGGGUGUUUAGUACAAGACCUGGUGCCUUUUCUCAGAGCAAUGGGAAUGUCAAGAGAGGAAUCAUACUCAUCUGAUUUUCCUGUAUGACCCUGUUCCGCUUCAUUAUUACGGGUUUCUAUUCUGACCUCAAUCUCAUCACCACUGUCCUUUUCUUCCACGUUUUCAAGAACAGCAACAUUAGACCUGUCAUUCUCACUUAUCAUAUUCUUAGUACAGGGUUCAGUAGGGUUUUCCAUACCUUGAUCUCGAGGAGGUUCAGAGUCUUGGACUGGAGCCGGCGGCUGACUAGUAGGGGAACCGACUUCCUUUUUGUGAUUCCUCCUGUAGUACGUUUUCCAGGGGACUUGGUUUGUGGGUAGGACUAUGGAAUGAGGAAUGAUGUUAGACACGACACUAGGAGUGGGUUCGAUGAAUUCAAAGGUGUUGUUAGACUCUUCACUCACACUCUCCCCCUGAAGAUGGCUAACGGGAAAGUAGGGUCGAUCCUCACAGAAAGUAACAUCCAUAGUGACAAAGUAUUUUCUGGAUGGUGGGUGAAAACAUUUAUAACCACGCUGGUGAGGGGGAUACCCAACAAACACACAUGCCUGAGCCCGAGGGGUAAAUUUGGUUUGAUUAGGGCCAAAAUUAUGGACAUAAGCGGUACACCCAAACACACGAAGAGGAACCUCAGAAACAUGACGAGUCGAUGGGUAGGACUCCUUAAGACAAUCUAAGGGAGUUUGAAGAUGAAGAAUACGAGAAGGCAUUCUAUUGAUUAAAUGAGCUGCUGUAAGAAUAGCAUCUCCCCACAAGUAUGAAGGAAGGGAAGUAGAAAGCAUAAGGGAACGGGCUACUUCCAGAAGGUGACGGUUUUUUCGCUCGGCCACUCCAUUUUGUUGAGGAGUGUAGGCGCACGAGUUUUGAUGAACAAUCCCCUUGGAAGCAAGAAAUUCACUAAGGUUAUGGUUUUGGAAUUCCCGACCAUUAUCACUCCGAAGAAUAGCAAUUUUUUGAUGGAAUUGUGUUUCAAUGGUGUGAUAGAAAUUUUGAAACAUAGAGGAAACCUCAGAUUUAUCAGUGAUAAGGUAGACCCAGGUAAGACGGGUAUGAUCAUCAAUGAAGGUUACGAACCACCGUUUUCCAGAUGAGGUUGUUAUCUUGGAUGGUCCCCAGACAUCACUAUGAACAAGAGUGAAGGGUUGGGUUGGUUUGUAUGGUUGUGAGGGAAAAGAGACUCGAUGUUGUUUGGCCUGAAUACACACAUCACAAGAUAAGGUAGUCAUCUCAACUUUAGAGAAGAGAUGUGGAAAUAAAUGUUUCAUAUAUUGAAAAUUAGGGUGGCCUAAACGAAAAUGCCACAACAUACAAUCUUGUUCAGAAGUAGUGAAAUAGGAAGAUAAGAGACUAGUCCUAGGAAUGCUACUAGAAGAGGUAUCGUCAUCAAGGAGGUAGAGUCCCCUACUAUGCCGGGCAGUGCCAAUCAUCCUCCCCGAGCUCAAGUCCUGAAAAGAGACAGAAUCAGGUAAGAAUAUUGCUUUGCAGUUUAACUCAUGAGUGAUCUUGCUUAUCGAAAGCAAAUUAUAAGAUAGUUUGGGCACAUGCAAAACAUUAUGUAAGGAGAGCCCUGCACAAGGAGAAAUCUUCCCCUUUCCAGCAAUGGGGGCCAAGGAGCCAUCUGCAAUUCUAAUUGUCUCGUUCCCAGCACAAGGAAUGUAAGAUACAAAAUGUUCAGAGGACCCAGUCAAAUGAUCUGUGGCACCAGAAUCCAGAAUCCAGGGGUUCUUCCCAUCAAUACUAACAAGACCGAAGGAAUGAGGUAUACCUGAUUGGACAAUGGCACCUAAAGUGGCAAGACUGAGAUCAGUUUGGUUUUUGUGUGGAUCGGAUUGUUGAGGAGGUUCAGCAGACUCACUCACAUACGCCCGCCCUGUGUUCUGUUUGUCGUUGGAAGGGCGUUUCUUACUUCCUGGGGGACGACCAUGUAACUUCCAACAUUGUUCUUUGGUAUGCCAUUGUUUUUUGCAAUGCUCGCAGACAGGAAUUGGUUUUCCAUUAUGCUUGUCACUGCUACUGUUAGAAGAUCUUGCACUAAAAGCAGCAGAGUCAAUAGUAGGGGUUGCGGAAAUAUUCAUAGCACUUGUGCGAUCUUCCUCGAGGCGGAUUUCAGAGCAAACUUCCAUCAGGGAGGGAAUCGGUCUUUGACCUAGUAUACGCCCUCGAACUACAUCAAACUUAGGAUUAAGACCAGCAAGAAAGUCAUAAAUCCUGUCAUUCUCUUCAAUUCUCGAGUACUGUACACCAUCAGUGGGAUCACGCCAGACUAGUUCUCUGCAUAGGUCCAUUUCUUGCCAUAUAAGAGAAAGCUUAUUGAAAAAGGAUGUGACAUCCAUGGUUCCUUGCUUGCAUUCAUGAACUUGCUUUCUCAGCGUGUAUAGACGAGAGGCAUUCUGACGUUUUGAGUAAAGUGUCUGGGCUGUGUCCCAAAUAUCCUUGGCUGUUGCAGCAAACAAUAACGGCUUGCCAAUUUGAGGUUCCAUACUAUUGAUCAAUAUGGAUCGAAGAAUAGAGUCUUCUGCCUUCCAAUAUCGUUCAUGUGGGUCGCCCGGUAGGGGGCGAGGUAUUUCCCUGUCAGAAAGCUAAAUUUUUGUCGUCCUUCGAGGACCAUCUUUACUGACUGAGACCAUGAGAAAUAGUUGUUGCCAUUCAACUUUUCUCCUGAAAGAUGAUACAUGGAAGACUGAGCCACCGUAUUAGUCACAUAAGGAGAGGAUACAUUAGGGAACGAGUUUACCGGAUUCUCAGAAUACAUCGGUAGAGUGGAUGUCGUCCCUAAGGUAGCCUCAAGUGCUGCUAUCUGUUGUCGAAGCCCUUCCAAUUGUUGAUGAACUAUUCCCGAGGAAGCUUGCACGUUACGGUUGGAAUAUGCCGAAGAUUCACCAACCUCAAAUGUUGAGUGAAUUUGAGAGUUUUUAACAUCGGGAUGGUAGCUAGGAUCAUUGGGUGGCUGGCCAUACAGAUUUGACGAGCAGAAGCGGUGGUAGCCGAUUGGAAUUAGAUGGCAGAACAUAAAUCGGGGCGUGGGGAGCAAUAUAGGCCGCGGACGAAGAAAAGGGUUGGACAGAUGGGAUGGUCGGCGCCGUCUGAGGAAGAAAACCAGGCGCGUGGUGGUCCGGUGACGGCGCGGACGACUGCGGUAAUGACGAAAAAUUAUUUUCGGACGUUUUCUGUAGCCGGCUUAAUAAUUCGUCCAUGGCAGCACUCAUCCGAGCAUCGGUGGCAGCAGCUACGGCAGCACUAAAAUUGAUGGUUGUCCCUUCUGUUUGAUUUUAAUCAGUGGUUUGGUUUUUUUGGGUUUCUAGGGUGUUUUCAUUGUCCCGCUCUGAUACCAUAUUGAAAAGAGAGACAACGAGUUCACACCAAUUUACGUGGAAACCCGAAUACCGGGAGAAAAACCACGGUUGUUUGUUGUUAUUAUUUUCUAAUGAAUAAAACAAUAGGUACAGGGGAGAAUAAAUAGAGUACACAAUGGAAUAAAAAAGGAAAAGAUUUAGGAAAAUAAGGAAUACAUUCCCAUAAUCUUUCCAUAAUUGUUCUAGGAUUCUAACAAGGAAAAAGCCUAGAAAAAAAGGAAAGAAUUCCAACAGUUUUCAAGGUUUAAGAACACUUUUGGUCCCUGAGCUUUCACGAAAGUAAUAAUGUAUUUCCUAAACUUUAAAAUGCAAAAAUUUUGUCUAUUUACUUUCAACUUUGUAUGGACUUUAGUCUCUAUGAUGAAAGUGUUCAUUCAAAUUAAGUGUUAAUUUAUAUUACAUAAUGGCUUAGUCUUCAUAGUUUAUAUGUGAAUUUGAUCAUCAAUGAGUUAUAAACCUACCCGGGUAAGAAACUUAACUCAAUCACAAUAAUAAUUUCCACCAUAGAGAUUUGGUUCUUACUAAUUGUAAAUUACAAGAACUAAAUUGUUACAUUUUAAAGUUAAGGAACUAAAUUGUUAAUACAUUUGCAAGAAUGAGGACUAUCUUUUUGUUACCAACUAAAGUUGAGGGUCAAAAUCGUUAGUUUUAUGCUAGUUUAGGGACGAAAAGUGUUUUUUAAUUAUUCGCUACACAGAACUCAUUAUUGAAUUAUCUUAUUCUUAACAGACAAAUCUGUUCAUGAUAUCGGCUCGACAAAAAUCACCAAGCAUGUCGUGCCAACACAUCACAGGUUGGUUUCUUGACUAAAUGAACCUAAUUUUGUUUGUUAUUUCCCCACGAACGAUGGUAAACAUACUGUAGCAUUGUACUUGAGCAGGGCAAGAACACGAGGUGCCCUUCUGCAAGAUAACGAAGAUGACGAUGGAAGGUAAAAAAAACAAGACAGUUUCAAAAUGUUGAGUCCUUGUGUUCAAAACUAGUGUUAGACAUGGAGUAGGUAAACAAAAUAAUAGAUAUGAUUGUGCAAUGCAGACAUUUCUUUGUUGUAUAUGAUUACGUAAUUCUCAUCUAACUUUGGCUUUCUGCUCAAUUUAGAUUCGAAAAUGUGUAAAUUUUCGAAUGACGAGUAGAUACAAAUUUGAAAUAUAUUGUGCAGCUUAAAACAAGUCACAGUGUGAGACUUUUCAUUAAUUUCUCAAACAAAUCAGCACUUGUUGACAACUUUAUAUUACCAUAUGAGUUAGCUUGAAAAAUAUUAUUAUUAUUAUUAGAAUGUAGAACACAUUUUAAUUUCCAAUAUAUCACGUUCUACAAUUUUUUAAACAUUUAUUUUCAAAACUCUUGACUUUUCUUUAGAAAAAACCAAAAGCUUUUGUUCCAAUAUAUCAGGUUGUAGUCUUUGGCCCUUGAAUUUUGUUAACAUUUAUUUUCAACUAUAUUGACUCUUUCUUUAGAAAAAAUAAAAAAAAAAUUCAAACGAUUACCGAUAAUAAAAAUAGAUAAAGAUAUAAUUUGAAAGAUAUUUAUGAAUAAGUUUAUGAGUAAAAAUAGAUAAAGAUAUAAUCUAAAAGUCGUAUCAUUAAUAAAAGUUUAUCAAAUCAAAAAAUUUAUUACGAAAAAAAAAUAUAGAUAAUCUAACGAAGAGGGAAUCCAAAAAUGAUGAUGUAAAAAGGAAUGAAAAAGCAUUAUCCCCACACUUUAGUUUCUCGUACAAUGAGAACCAUCCAAAUUGUGACAAAGACAGAAAUGAGAUAAGCACAAACCACCAUUAUUGCAAUACAACAAUCAACUAAACUCAAACUCACUCACUCACCUAGACACAACUUUUAAUGCACUCUUUUUGAAAAAGCUUUCCCAAACAAAAGAAGAAGAAAAAAAAACUUAUAUAAUGUGUUGUAUACAAAUUAUUUAUGUUUAUAUGCAGAGUUGCAUUCAUGAACCACUGAUAUAUAGUGAAACUGAUAUGAGUUGUAACUUUUGUAGUUCUAUUUCAUUGGUGCCUCAUAUGGAAGUGGUGGUGAUUGGUGGGUCAUAUACUCAUUAAGAACAAAAAUAAUAAUAAAUCAAAUGAAAAAGUUACUUUUUACUUUUUAGAAAAAGCGAUUGCAAAUGACUAAGUAAUGGAGACAUUGAUAGGUCUAUCAAUAUAUUUAUAUAUAUUAGGUGAGGCAAUUGGAUUAGAAUGAUAAAAUAGCAACUUUUAUCCAAUCAAUUACUUUAUAAAUGUUAAAAGAAGAACGAAGAAAGAGUUGUUUUUCAAAUUAAGCAACAUAAACUCUAUAUUUUGACAACAAAGUUAAAAAGAUAACUUUAUAUUUUUCUUCUUCUUUUAUAAAGAUAUGAUUGAACAUACACCAUUUCAGGAGGUGUCGGUGUCCACUAACAUUAUGCCCAUCCCAUGGUUGCUUUCAUUUCAAAAGGAUCAAAAUUUGGAUAUGAACUCUUACAUUUUGCCUUUUGGUGUUACCUAACUUUUCUUUAAUUAAAAUUAAAGUGUGUUUAGUUUGGAGCAAUUCUAUGUUCGGUGACUUUUUGAAAAUUUUCUUAGAAUGGAUGUGAGUGAAAACAAAACAUGCUGAAAUGACUCUAAUUGGUUCGUGGAACAACUUUCACUCUAAUAAGUCUUUAAGACAAGUAAGAAUGAUAUUGUCAAGUCGCAAGUAAUUAGACGUUACAGAUAUAUAGUUUUAUUUAUAUAUAAACACAUAUCUACAUUAGUGAGGGUCAUACGUUUUACAGAGUGUUUGUAUUUACUCAGUAACACUAAUAUCAUUUUCACACAUUUAAAUUUAUGCACGUUAUAGAUUUUAUUAGGUAUGUAUACAACUUAAUAACACUAGUAAGUAUAAUGUUUUGUUGGUGUAUAUACAUAUAUACAUAAUACGUCUACGUUUUUGCAGAUUAUUGAUUUAGUAACUUUCUUUGGGUGAAUUCAAUUUGUUUUUUUUUGUAACAAAACUAAAUUGUAAAGUCUAGUGUUAGAAAGUAUGGUUUCUCUCCUUCACCCUUUGUUUAAUAAUUUUAAUAAUUUUAAGUUUUAAUAGAUUGUGUUCAUAUUAAGACGAUGGCAUAAGCAGAGUUGGGUGUGGGGCACCGCCGUCACCACCACUACCAAUCUUCAACAAAUCACUUUAACGACGUAUGGGUAAAGGCAGUUAGUAUUAUUGGGUUAAUCAAUUUUAAAUACAUCUUGUACCACUAAAUUCUUUUACUUUAUUAUCUGUUUUUUACCAAACCAAAUCUUUCUUACACUACAAGAGUUUUUUUUCUUUUUCUUUUUUAUCUUUAUAAAAAAAAUACAAACCAUCAUAAUAAGAAAUUAAGAAAGAAGUAAAAGUUAAAAAUCAAAGGUUAAUCAAACGGAUCUUCAAUGUUGAGCUAUUACCAUUUAUAUCCACGAUUUGUUUAAAUAAUAUUUAAAUUCUAAGUCUUCAGUCAUUUUGUGAUUGAGUAAUUUUUAAUAUCAUCCUUCAGAAAAGAAAAGGAUUAGGAUUAGGAUUGUCCUAAUGGGAGUGGGAGUGGGAGUGGGGAGUAGAGAAUUUUGUGAGGAUGAAGAUGGGAUAGGGGGGCGGGGACGGGGAUCGGUAGUGGCAUCCCCGGCCCUCCUCGUCCCGUGGACAUCUCUACUCCUCAUCCCCGUCCCUCACCAUUAAUACCGCGCAUAAGGAGUGAUCCAUUUCCGAUAACGAAAAUCGUGCGUGGGGAAUGGUCCCAACGCUCGACGCGCAAGUGAAACCGUCGUGUGUCGAGUGAUGGAUCUUACAAGGUGGGUGGGAGGGGACGGGGGGGGGGGGGGGGGGGGGGGGGGGAAUAUUUAUAAUUUUAAUUAAGAAGGAUAGAUAUUGAAGAGAGGAAUGAGAAAUUAGAAUGAAAUCAAAACAUUAUAUGGUAGAUGAAACUUAACAUAAAUCAAAGCACAUAGAAACUAAAUAGAAGAGAGAGAGAGAGAGAGAGUUGGAUGAAUUCAUUUGUUGGUGGUGGAGGAUGAGUUGGCGGCGAUGCCGAAGUUGCCUGUGGAGAGAAAUUGGUUUUUGAGUGCGCUCCUCGACGCCGGAUAUUGAGAAGAAUAGGAAUAACCCGGAUAUGGAGUAGUACAUGGUUUCGAUUUCCGUUCGGCGCCGGACUUCAUUUUUUCUCCGUCUUUGUCUUUUGAUUUUUGCUUAUCGCUUCUCUCACUCAUCUUUUCCCCUUUCAUAAUAUUAUCUUCCACCUUCCAAAUAAUAAUAAUUGAGCUUGAGCCACCCACGCAUUUAUAACCUUAAUUUUACACGUGUCUUUUUCUUUUUACUCUUUUAAAUUUUCCAUAAAAUUACAUAUUCUAUAUACAGCUUACCUUCAUAAACCCUAUCUACUGUUGAAUCACUUUAUCUUUACUAUUUAGGAUAAUUUUCUAUAAUCAUAAAGGCAGAUGAAAUUUUAAUUUGGUUGCUAUGAUUCCAAAAAAAUAUAAU
rnacentral:lncRNA from 1 species